AAAUUAAAAAAAAAAUGUAUUUUUAAACCGUCAUUAUAAAUGUAUUUUUUUAAAAAAAAGGUUUUAUUAUUAUAUAUAUAUACUUUAAUCCUGCAUAAAAUAUCAAAUUUACAGAACAAUAAUGCAUGUAAUAUCAUAAUUUAAAUAUGAAAGUUUAUAUACAAUAAAUUAGUACAUAUAACAUUUUACAAAAAGUUCUACAAAUAUAUGAAAAAGUUCUAUGUCAUUCUAAUAAUUCAUUUAUCCUAAAGUCAUGGUUACAAAAUAUUUUGACCAUGUUAUCUUCACAUACUCCAAUGCUUUCGAAUCUAGCGGUUGUGGGUCAUUGAAAAAUUGUGACAUUUGAAUUUUUUUUGAAUUAGUGCAUGAACAAUAAACCCCAAAUUUUAAAGUGUUUUUGUAUUGAGGAGGUAUUACCUGGUCUCAACCUCUAUCAAUUUCAGCUUGCACAAUAGCUGACAUCCACUACAUAGUAACCGCAUUCAUUGUUUCCAGAUUGCUUAUUGCACUGCAAGUUAAAAUAAAUUUUAUUAAAUGAACGAAUGAGACACAUUAAAGUGAGUGAACAAAUAUACUUUAAAUACCUUAAGGUGCAUCUAAGUGAGUUUUUUUGCAUUUUCACUUCCCCUCCAACUCAACAUGUUAUAUCCAGAAUAAGUAUUAAAAUAAUAAAAUUUAAUGUUAUAACACAUAACAUUAAGUAAUGUAUGAGUAAUAAAUUUAUGAAUGUAGUAUAAUCAUAAUGGUUUGAUAAAUCUCUAAUUUAUACUAGGAAACAUCAUGCAAAAUUUCAGAAAUUUUCUAACAAGUGAAAGUAUAAGAACUAAAACCUUAAAAUACUUGAAAAAUAUCUAAAUAAUACUUAAAAGUAAAAAAUAAUAGUAAAUGGUGGAUUUUUGGAAUUUUGGUUCACCCCCUUCGUCGUCUCGUUUCAAACAACUUUCAUUUUUAACGCGUUUGCAUCUGACUUCUUUAUCAAAAGUUAUGACCGUUUGAAUGUUAUUCAUGCUAUUUUUUAGCAACUCCAAAUCUAUCACUCUUCUCUUCAAUGUUAGGACUCCUUAAUCAAACAUCCACUAUAUGAAGUUUCCACAAACCCUAAACUAAUAAAUAAUCAACACCUACAUGCAAAUAUUUAUUAUUAAAUUAAUUUAAAAAUAUAAAAUACUAACCAUCUAUAGUGGAGUUGCGGGUGCAGCCAAGUCCGCGGUGACAUUGUGCAUCAGUCCUGACAGCGUGUGGUGGAGGUGUUGGCGGCGUGCAGAAGGUGUUGUCGGCAUGCGGAAGUGAAGGGUUAGCGCACGAAGGAGAGAUGCGGUGCAAAGGAGAGAUGCGGCACAAAGGAGAGACGCGCACAGGAGUUUGACGCACGGAGGGUUGGAACAGUGUUGACUGUGGUGGAAAAGGAGAGAGGCGCGGAAGAAAGCUUGGGGUGCGGAGGGGGUAGGUCGGAGGUGGGAGCUGCGUUUAGUGUAGUGAAAGGGAGAAAGGCGCGAAUGAAAACAAAAAUGAAUGAGAGCUUGUAGAUGAGCUUUAAUUUUCACUCUUUUAACGACGAUUUCCCACUUAAUCGUUGCUACUUUUCCCACAACUCCUCGUUAUUCCAGAAAAAGAACCGUUGUUAUUUUACCAGCAAAUCUUGAAAUCUUCACGGCAAAAUUAUGUUACCCGCCCAUUCUUAUAAUUAAAAAAAAAUGUUAAUUAUCAUAUUAUCACGAGGAAAUUGGACCAUUUCGGUGGAAAAAUGGACGUUAUUAACAUACAAGGUGGUAAGAAUCUCAUAGGUUUUGUUGUUUACUAAUGUUAAUGUUAACGUGUCUAUAUACAAGUCAUGCGUAUACUACCUUAAUUAGUUGGUGAUUCAUCAAUUACUUUGAUUUUUUUAACUAUUGACUUUCUGUUACCGUAAGAAAUACAUGCAUAUAUGAACUGCAUAUAUAACUGUGAAAAAGUGAGAGUAAAUAUAUAAUUGAACCAUGCAGACACAUGUUGCCUUCAUUGACCUUAAUCAGAUGAUUGAAGUUAUGGAUCCUCUGACCCUGUCUUCUUCUUCAGGAGGAGAAUCUAAAGUGACAUAAGUGACCACGGUUUUGAUGCCUUAUUGAGUUCUAUUUUAUGUUACCUAAGUAUCACAAAAAGGGGAAGGAAGAAGCACACGCAGUGUAGUGCAAUUUCUUAAUGAACUUCACUGUUUUGGAACAGUACUUGUGGAAGACACGUAAAGGGGUGUGUGAGACAACAGUUUGAGGUGACGCUUACACGUGUCAUGGCCCACUGUAUACAUUUUAUUUUCCACGUAUCAUACCCAACACAACACUUCAAUUCAUCUCAUUCUAUCACAGCUAUAUCAUAAGCUUCAUAGCUGUUAUAUCAGAGAAAAAUAAGAUUUUUUUUUUCUGGUUUUGGUUCUAGAAACGAUAAGCAGCAGGAAUAUGGUACACGUAGAAAAUGAAUAAAUAUUGUAGGAUAGGUCAUAUUAACUUAUUUUAUUUUAUCUUGGUCAAUUUCUUAAUUUCAUGCCAUGUCUCGGAUGAUGCAUGACCCAUAUAUUCUAUUCUUUGCCAUAGCCAAACUCAGUCAAACCUUGGAUUAUUUUUCAGUCCCUAAUAUGAAUGAGUGAUAGAGAAAAUUGAUUCGAGUUGGGUUAACACUCAAAAAAUAUAUUAAAUAAAAACUAAUUUAAAAAAAAUUAGUUACUAUUUUAAUCAAAUUAAAAAUUAUUUUAGAAAUUAUAUGUAAAGUAAUUUUUAUUAUUAAUAGAAAUUUAUAAAAUAAUUCUUAAAUUGAUAUUUAUUAAGAUUUUAACUAUUUAUAACUUUAUAUUCUAAAUUAGUUUUUAUUAAUUUUUUUAAGAUACUAAUUUAGAAUCUAAAAUAUUAGUCACUAAAUCUUAGGUAUCCAAUUUAGUUACAAAUUUAUAAAUUAUUUUAUAAUUUUUUAUUAAUAAUAGAAAUUAAUUUAAAUAUAAAUAUCUCUAAAUUAGUAUCUAAUUUAGUUAAUAUAAUAAUUAAUUAUUUUUAAUAUUUAAAUUUAGUUACUAUUUAAUUAUUUUAUUGUAAUGUAAUUUAGACAAUAAUGUUGGAUGAAUGAAAAUAUUUUGAAUUAAGUUAUUAAUACACUAUUGUUAACCCUCAAAUUAAUCAUAUGCAUAGUUUUAUUGUACAAUUAAUCUGUCACAUUAACACUUUUCCUCAUUCCACUUUUGUUUUGUACCAUCUUCUAUUUCAGUGGUGGAUUCUCAUUGUACGAUGGAAUUAAGACUGAGUUAUUAUGAGUGAAUUUAAGUUCUAAAUAUUUUUGUAAAUUGAUGGAUUUUUUUUAAACAACAUAAUUUGUAAGGAAAAAUAUAUUUUAGUUUCAGAAUGUUAAUGAUAAUGCUUUUAAACUUUUGAUGAGUAAACAAUUAAGGUUUGGUUUAUAUUUAAUAAAAGUGAAAAGAAAAUGAAACACUAAAAAAUAUAUUAAUUCUAAUAGAUUGUGAAUGAGGAGCAUUUAUUCGAAGAAAGGAAGAAAAAUAACUAGAAGUGAAGAUAAAGAUAAAAGAAAAAAACAUCUUCAAUUCUUUAUAAAUAAUAGAAAACACUAUAAAAAAUUUGUUUGGAAAUUGAAAUAAGCUAACUAGUUUAGGAGUAGCCGACUCUCAUCUAAGUUUGGUUGGGAACUAAGGUUCUUAGUCUAAAAGGAAAUAAGUUUUUCUUUAUAAGAAUCUUUUUAUCAAUGGAAUGAGAAUUAGAGAGUUUUUGUGAAGAGUGUGAUUUUUCUUAUUUUUUUAGAGAGUUCUUAUCUUUAUUUCUUUAGAGAGUUCUUAUCUUGAAUAGAAUACUCUCAAGUGACGAAUAUUUAUUCUUUUCUUAUCUUCUUAAUGAAUUUUGGUAAGGUCUAGACCAUCUAACUUAACUAGACAAUCUAGUGGAAGAUGUGCCUUUCUAGUAUCUAUGUAGAAAAUCUUAGUAGAACAUCUAGUUAUUUAGCUUAUACUAAUAUAGUAUCGUUUGGAGCAUCCAUCUAAGUGACGAUUUAAUUCAAUAACGAAAUGCACAAUUUACGUGUCUUUUCUAUUUGUUUAAGUGCACGUUAGUUAUGUUAGUUAUAUUGUACAAACAAGAAUCUCUCCCAACAAUUGAGAUUAACUUAGUUGUGAGUUCAACUAUAAAACAUAAAAUUGUGAGAGUUGAACGAGAGCCACUGAGAGAGAAACUUUGUGUUGUGAUAUUUAUGUAUAGUCAAUUAUGUUGUGGAUGAGAUUGAAGUUUGUUAACACUUUAAUUGAACCACAUUAUUUUUACGUGCAAUUAUUCUUGUUCUUCCUUCAUUUAUCUUCUACAGACUACAUUUACAGAUUCUUUGUUAUCGAGUUGUUGUUAGUGUGGUAGACACUUUUGCAAUGAGUUUGAUUAGAGUCAUUCUAGAAAAAUCUCCUUGUAAGUGGGGUGUCUUCCUCAAUCAAAGAUCUUGAAUUUGAGCCCCCUUCUUGGAGUCAUUAUUGUUUUCAAAGAUGAAUCAUUAUUCCUAGUCAUGUUCGUUCUCAUUUCUUACUAACCAUUCCUGGUUACUUUUCUCUUCUUGGAACCUUGCAUUCUUGCAUCAACUUUCCGUCACCAUAGCAUCCUAGAACCAACUUUAAGCAAUAAAGAAUCUUAUCUUAUCACGUCACACCAUUUGUACAAAUCAACUAAACAUAACCAAACCAAAACAAAAUUACAUAGAUGACCAACAAAAAAUUACAACAGAGAAAAUUCCUCUGUAAAUUCACAAUUUCCUUCAACACCAAAGAAGACAUCUUAUACAAAGUUAUCUACCAGAUAAAACUCAAUUACUUUCCUUGACACCCCUGCCAGACCUUCAACUACAAUAAGGAAUAAGAAAGAUACAAGAGGACCUUGGUGUGGACCCUUUUGUAGAUGGAACUCCUUAGUUGGACUUUCAUUUAUUGGAUGGAAGAAGAUUCCAAGCAAGCUUUGAUCCACCUAAUUUAUUUGUCAAGGAAACCCAACCUACCAAGCAUGUAAAAGAUGAACUCCCAACUGACAGAGUGGCCUUCUCAUAAUCAACUUUAAAAAAAAAAACAUAACUUUUCUUCUUCCUUUUCAUCUCCUCUAAGACCUCAUUUUGAUUAUCUAAGGUGUAUAACUUUGUUUAUCACCUUUUUCAACCUUAAAAGACAAAAUCUUCGAGAUAAUUUUAUAUAAACAAUCGGUUUAAAAAUCACAAAACUCUCAUGUCUACAAUAGGGAGAAUGAAUUUUUUUUCUAAUGUAACGCGAUUCCAGUAAUAAAAUUAUUCUAAGUGACAUAUUAUUCACAAUAUUUAUUCAAAUAACACGGUUUACUGUUUAAGAUUUAUUUUUCAUGAUCAAAAUUCGAUCAAAUAUUUUCCGAAGUAGCAUGGUUACCAAUAAAAUUUUCUCACAUGACAUAUUAUUUCCAAUAUUUACCAAUAACAUUUUUUACUAUUCAUGAUCAGAAUUGGUUGGGAACCGAAAUUUGAUGUUCAUUUUGACACAUUAUUACAAAAGAAAUAAGUUAAUAUUGACGUACUUUAAAAAAAUUUGGAAAUUUAAUUUUUGUAAUUAUUAUUUUGAUAAAUUUUAUAUAACUAUUAAAUAUUUAAUAUGUCCAUUAUCAUUAAUAAAUUUAUAAAUUUAUUUAUCUAUUUUGUAUAUAUUAUUUAUUUGUUUUUUCUAAUUUGAAUUUAUGAAUUUUCUUAUCACUGUAAUGAAUUAAAUUUUUAAUAUUCAUUUUAAAUUUCAAUUUAAAUAAUUUAGAAAGAAAAGUUCUAAUACAUUUAAAUAAAUGCAAAUUUACAAUAUUAAGUUGAAUAAUUAAUUUAAAUAAUGACUUGAUUUUUUAAUUUUUAUUAUCAAAUAAUUUUAUCAUUAUUAAAUAAUUUAAAAUUUUAUUAAUUUUAAAUCACAAAAUUCCAAUAUUUUUCAAGAAAUACAGUAUUACUUAAAAAAUAAAAAAUAAUUGUGACAUGUUUUAUUAACAACCACAUCGCAACUCAAUUUAAUAUAUCAUUUGAUGUUACAUAAUUAAUUCAAUAAAUUUCUUUAAAUUGUCACAAUAUUUAAUAAGUUUGUAAAAUUUAUUGGGAACCGUGCUACUUUGAAAAAAAAUCCAUUAAAUUCUGAUCAUGAACAAUAAACAUUACUAUUUGGAUUAACUUUUAGAUAGAGAUUGCAGAACAAAAAUUAAUGUCUUCAUAGAUUGAGAUAUUGGAGAACAAAAAUCAACGUCUUUAUGCUUUAUUUGUGAAGUUUUCCAGAUAGUGACACCACACAAAGGUCCCAAUAAACCUUUUCCAGACAAAAGCAUUUUACCUAAACUGCAGAUCAGAUCACUGCCACUAUUUAUUUCUUUCCAAUUUGCAUGAAGCUUUUGAAGAAGCUAUUUCACCAGUUAAGAAUUCCAGUUGUAAAAGGAGAGAGGAGUAAACUAAAAUAAAUAAUGAAGGAAAAAAGAACAACAUAUAAGAGAAUGUUAACAGAAAGCAUAUAUAAGAAUGUUAAUAUACCGAACAUGUACAUUUUGGAAUAAAAUUGUACUAGUAACCUUUAGAAUCUCAUUACCUUUUGUGAGCCUUCAUUGUUACAUCGAAAUUCCAUGUUUGAAUUGUACUGUUACCAAGCACAAAUCCAUACAAUGCUCCAAAAAUCAACCCCUACUUUAUCAAGCUUAAAGCCUUGAAGUUUCUUUCUUUAGGAUUCAAGGACUUUCUUUUUAUAAGAUUAAAAACAGUGAUUAUUAAUUUACUGACAGACCUUUACACAAAACAAGAAUUUCCUACUGAAAUGGUGCUAAUUUGAUGUUUAAUACAAGUGUUUAUGUCAAGUUCAAUCUCACAUCUAACAUUAACAAAAUUGACAACGCCUUUGAAAACAACCAUGCUUUGUGUGGCAAAUUUUAGCCUUGGAAGAUGGAAAUGCAAGCAAAGUACCAGGCACUAACUUUAAGCAAACAAAAGCUGCGGGGCAAAUUAAUAUCAUAUAUAUAGUAUGUGUAGUUACAAAAAAAUGUGCAGUCUCUUCAUUUCAGGUGGUUGCCCUUAUAAGAUGCAAUAGGAGACCAUUGGGACCACAUCUUCAGUGUUAGCCCCCCCAGUCCCCAUGCAGUCAAUAAUCUGUCACAACAUUUUUCACUUUGUAGAUUUAGGGAUAUAUCACAUGGACCUACAUAACCAUCAUGUUGCAUUCAAACAGAAGCUGAAAACUACCAGUUUUUGCUAGCUGCCUAACAUCUGUAACAAAAAUAUUUAUGAGCUGUUUCUUGCUGUCUCUCAAAAUGGUUUAGACUGGAUUAUAACCCGAGCUCCUGAAGCAAGCCUGUUGAGUUAAACCAAACUCAUUAAUCAAUGACUCAAAACUAUAAGAACAACCUAACAAAAAAAAUUAAGGACAUGAGUAGAAACAAAGUAAAGACAACACUUAACUUUCUUCAAUUUUGAUCACUCUCUCCUCUUCUCUAUAUGAGUCUAUCCUCUUAGAUUGCUUUCUCCCUGACCCUGAUGAAGUUUCAGUGAUCCUUUUGCUGCUGCCGUUAGAUGGUGCUGAAGAUAUGCCUGAACCAUUGGUUCUAUCCAUGGAAUUUCUUGAUCCAUCAGAAACAGGAGAUAUCAUGCGUUCACCUAGUGAUUGAUUGGUCAAUGAAGCCUUUACUGACUGUGGAACACAUUUUGAAUUUCCUGGGGAUGAUGAUUCCUCCAUGUCUUGUGAUUUCAACUCUGUAGAUGUCCUGCAUAUUUGUUACAGAUGAGAUAUUGGCCAGGAUGUGACGACUACUGUGUUCCUAUCAUACGCCUAUCAAAAUCAAUCACACCACUCUCAGACAUGAACCCACAAAGAUGGUCAUAAUAUUUUUUUAUCACCAGUUACUUUUUGCAGCAUGUCAUACAAGAUAAUCUCCAAACAAGGACCUCCUUUUGUAAGAAAGGAAGAACACGUACGUUAAAAUUAAAAGCUUAGAAAGAAUUUUGUAAACUGCAAAAUAUAUUAUCAAAUUAGGAUGCUAUUCCCAACAUUUAUUCUGGCAUACAAAACAUAAAAUCCUUAUUCUACUUUAUGAUUCCUCUCCUCAGGUCCUUUUUCUUCUCAGAGUUAUGUGUUUCACAUGAUAAGAGAUAGAAAUAAAAAAUUGAAAACUCAAGAGAAUCAAAUCCUCCGUUUGUCCAUUCUUUUUUGCCUUUUUACUUUUCUUUUCUCCUUCCCUCCUGUGGGAGGAUGCUAGCUAUUGGAUUUGGAAGUUCUAAUGAUAUCUAUUUUAUUUCAACAAUAACUUCAUUAAAAAGUAAUGAAGCCCCUUCUUUUGUGCCUUUGAAGCCUCCAUUUCCUUAAUCAUCUUGUUGUACUAUCUAUCAUAAGUAUAGACCUAAGAGUAAGCAUGUGAAAGCAUUACAUUUCAUUAAAUAUUAUGUAUUUCGAAAACAAGUUUCAAACAUAAAUAAUUUGAGAAAAGUGUUAUAAUCUUUCACCUUGAACAAGUUCUGAACUGACAAAGUGACUAGACUUGUUAGAUGCUCAACUGUUUUUUAUCUAAAAAAUGUGUGAAGUUGUCUUGGUAAUAAUGAUUAACUAGCAUCUCAUUUAGUUAGGCUCAAUCCGGACAAACCUCAGGUCUGGUAAAAACUCCAAGUAACAUAAGCAUUUUAACACCGGAUUCAGGUAUUUUCUAUUUUUGUACUAUGGCACAAUCUACAUGGCAAUUGUUCCCUAAUGCAGCAUUAUUCACUUUUGAAAGAAUAACACAAAAAAAAAUUAUUCUUACUACUCGUCAGUCCUAAAGAACUCACUUCCUCAGCUUUGAAAAAGAAUUCUCCGAAUUUAUGACUGGCAUGGUUCAUUUGCUACAAACCAAACAGCAAUAUGUGAUAAACCAUGAUUUUGGAAUGGAAACAGUAACUCUACCUAAUGCUAAUUUGUCUAGUUGCAAGAAAUGAAUUGAAAGCAAAACCUACCUCUCAGAAUUGAAAGAAGAAGAGCGUUUCAGAACAUUAUGUCCACCUUCUUCCUUCAGUACUUUAGACUCCACUACGCUCCCACUAUAAUAUUCUUUGUCUUCCAAUUUGAGGCCCAUCACCUUCGUUUUCUCUGCUAGGCAGUCAAAUUCCCCAAACAUAACAGAAGUUGAGAACAAUGGGGAGGGGAAUUUGGAAUUGGAAAGCCUAUUCUUGUAAGAAGGAAUAAGGCCAACACUAUGAUUUUUCACAGAUAUAGACCCGCAUGAUAUCAGUUGCAUUAGUAGACUUGAGGCUUUCAGCCUUGCAUUGGUUUGCAUUCGAAUACGCUCCUCUUCAAGGAUCCUAAAGCUGUUCAUUUUACUCACAUCAGCUCUUAUAAGGGACUCCAAAGUCUCAGUUUUCCCUCCAGAAGAUGAUGGACUACAAGUUGAGGGAGGAGGAGGAAUAGUAUCCAUACCGAUUUCAGGAUUGUCUUUCACUUGUGGCACUUGAGCAUCACUUAUUUCAUGGCACUCUGGUUCUAAUGACCCAUCAUCCUCGGUUGAUACACCCCUGGUACAAGUUUUCUGGGUUUCGGUUUUGCUAACAUUUUCUUCUGUCUGAGUUGAAGCAUCUGCCAAUCCAUCAGUCUUGUAGAUUUUGUAUUCUGUCAAUGGUAAGCUAAGAGAAUCACUUGUCCCUGCUCUAGACUGAGGAGACACAUCAGAUGAACCAGUUAGUUGUCUUGGGGAAAGUUCAUCAUCUUCUUGGGAGUUUCUUGUAUCUUUCUCAUUCAUGCUGGAAGAGGUGGAAGCCUCAUCAUGGCUCCUACAAGAAACCGGCUCUGGCAACUGCUUCAGGUUCUGAGUUUUCACAUUGCUAGUAGGGCUAAAACGUUCUGCAAGGCAAAAUCCACAAUCAUUAUAAGAUCUCUAACAGGACCUAAGAAAACACACCAUGAUUUAGACAAACAAAAUAUUAAAAAUAACAUUCUUGACCUGAAUUCGAUUCGUAAAAUAGCUCAGAACCUUUGAGGACAUACUCAUUUCCAUGAGCAGGUAGAAUUAGAUCGUCUUCACAGAGAUCAUGCCACACAAAUCCGUUUUUGUAGCUUCUGAAUAACAUAAUAACAAACAUACAUGAUGAAAUGUGAAGACAAUUAGAUCAUAGGGUGAAGCAACAUCACAAAGCUCAACAAUCUCGACUGUUUUAUCCAACUAAAACAAUACACAUUGGGAAAAGAUCCUCUCCAUUUCUUCCAUUACUAUGCUUAUGAGAAAACAAAUGAAAUGAAGAUCAACCUGCGUUGACUUUCCCAAAAUGCAAAAGAGAAACAAGACAGACCCUACCAAUCAACUCUCAGCCUUUAUUCACAAUUUUCAAGCUCGCUUAUUCUCACCAUUCAAAAUAAACACCAAGAGAAAUAUUAAUUAAGGAAUUGAAUAACUUCCUCACCUCUUACAAGACCACGAAUACAAAGAAGCCAUGCCUCUACCUCUCAAAGCGUUUAGUCUAUCAAUCACAUCUGCACACAAAGAACCCCUAAAAAAACCACACCCCACAAACAAAAACAAAACAAAAAACACAAAAGCUUCUGCUUUUGCUUUUCCGUUUUUCAUAUGAAAAAAAAAAAUCUACCUCUCAAAACCAACCCAUCAGGGGAUGAAAGAGGAACCUCCAUGAAAUGAGGAUGUUCUAACUGCCUAUUCCUGCAAAGAUAGUAAACCACCGGCACCUUCCGAUUCUGAUAGUACUUUGGGGACUUCUCCGUCCACACUUUGGCCCUCUCUGGACUCACUUGCCGGUACUUUCUCAUCCGUGCUUCCAUUCCCACAUUCACAAACUCGUAAAAAUCCAAACUUUCUCCGCAACUUGCUACUGGGUCCAAUUAUUAAUUCUCUUCCACCAUCACUUACAGCACACCAGAAAUCUUAUUGAAGCUGGAAAAAUCAUCAGCAAUAACAACCCAAUAAUUAAACAAUCAAAAGAAAGACCUGUGUAAAAAAGUAAGCAAUAAGAAAGAUCGUACAGGAAUCUAUGUGGUCAUGUUGGUUUGUUUAGUUGCAAAUUAUGAAAGGUCGUGCCUAGAAGAACGUGAAGUGAUACAAAAUUCCAAAUGAAAUGGAAUUAGAAGAAACUUGAAGACAGAGAGAGAGACAGAAGAUUGUGAUGUAUGAACUGGAGUGUGAAGUGAAGAAUAUAAAGCGUUUAGAGAGAGAGAGAGGGAUAAAGUUCUUAUUAGAUUGAAACAGAGACAAGACGGGAAGUGAAGUGAAGGUUGCACCUUACUUCCUGUAAUCUUUUGGGUGAUUUGAUGGACAUAUGUUUCUUAUGUUAUGCUCAGACACUCACUUUUCCUUUUGCCUUUUUUUAAUUUCUUAAUCAUUCUCUUCUAUAAUUAUAUUUUGUAUUUAAAAAACUUGUAUGAACUGAAUCUGGCUAACUAAUCAAAAUUACUGUAUGUUUCAAGAUUCGACGAGAUUCAUCAAUAUGCAUAUUGAUCAAGUACUCAGACUAGAAAAAAUAAACACAUGAAAACGCUUUUCACCAAUAAAAUUCUCACAUUAAUAACGGCAUUGGAUAGUAAAAGUCAAACUAAAAUACUUAUAAAUCACUGCUAAGAUAAGGGAUUCAUGUAAAAUAUGAGUUACUUUGUAUAAUUAUUGAUUAGUGUUAGGUUUAAAUGGCAAAUUCUGUAUUACCAGCUCUACUUAUUAGUUCCGUUCAACCGCUCUAAAGAGUUGUGGGUCGGAGAGGAUGUAAAUGGAUUUGAAGAAGUCAAUUUCAAUUUAAAUCAAUGAGAAAAAAUAUUAAUAAAGUGAAAUUGUUUAAAUUGAGGUAUAUUAGAGUGAAUUUGUGAAGAAAUAUUAUUAAAAUUUGUGAGUAAUAAGAUAAUUAUGAUAAAAUAUUUAAUUUUUGUGAAAAAUGUGAAAUAUAAGUUUACAUAUUUAUUUAUUUUUUUAAAAAUGUUUAAAUAAUGAAAUAUAAGAUAUUAUUUUAUAGAUUUGACAUAAUUAAAAUUUUGUAAAUUAUUUUUACUACUGUUUAAUAAUUAUUUUAAAAAAACGAGUUUUUUAUCAUUAUCAAGAUAAGUUUUCAUAAAAAUAAGUUUGGAAAUGAUGCAAUGAUUGUAAUAGAAAUUUUAAUUUUUUUAAUUAAUAAAAAAUUAAGAUUACAAAUUUAUUUUUAAAUUUAAAAAAUUAAUUAUUUUAAAAAUUAUUUUUUAUUCAUAUGUUAUUUUUUAAUACUUUAUGAUCAUAUUUAAUUUCAUUGAUACCUUUUAUUGUAUAAAAAAAUUCUUAAAAUAACUCAUCAUAUGAUAAUUGUAUAUCAAGUUAUUCACAAUAGUAUAAAACUAAAGUAAACUAAAAUAAAUGUUUAAAUAUGUUUUGGAUCUUAUACCAAUUUUAUUUUUUAUUUUUUUGUCCAUGUAAUUUUUUAAUAUUUUUAAAAUGUUUUGUUUUUAAUUUUGUAAUUAUUCUUUCUUACAAAACAAAUUAACUAAAAGUAACGCCAGAAAAUAAAUACAAACACUUCAAAAUUACUUAUAAUUCCUUUUUAUAUAAACACAAAUAAAAUUCACUAUAAUUAUUAAAAAAAAUGUACUUAAAUCUAAAAUUUUAAAAUUUGUACUAAAAAAUUAUAUAUUCAUAAUAAUACUGAAGUUUAAAGAAAGAAAAACAUAUCACGUCGUAUUUUGUAAAAGAAGAGAUUUGUUAUUGGAUGAAAAAGUUGAGAAUAAAUAAAACAAAAAUUAUUAAAUUAAAAAAAAUAUGAAUCAACGUAUGCUAUCAUGAAUAAUCCAAUAUAAUAAUUUGAAUUAAAAAAAAAACUUUCUAUAAUAUUACAUAUAUAUUAUAUGAGAUUAAAUUUAUGCCGAUAUAACCUUAAUUAAAUAUAAGACUAAAAAUAAUCAAAUUAUACUAACGUAAUUUUUAUUAAACAACUUUGUAUAAAAGAUUUGUCGAUUCAACAAUCACAAUCUUGUAUUUACAUAAUUAUUUAUAUUCAAUUUUAUCAAAAUUGCCUAAAAAUAAUAAGAUAAACAAAUUACUUCUAACAUUCUUAUAUUUUCCCACAUCUAAAAACUAAAAUCUGUAUAAAAUAUUAAAAAAAUAUAUAAACAUAAUACAAAUAUGUUCACCAUUCUUUCUUAAAAAAUAUUACAAAACAUAUCUCUCUUCAUAAAACUUUAAUAUCUACAUAAAAUUAAAACAAAUAUUCAGAUUUCAACUAAAAUAAUUUCAUCAUCUAGCUUCUCACUGAGGAGGAGCCCAAUCACCUAUAACAUCAUCUGCUUCCGUGUAAAUACACGAUCAUCACAGAUAAAGAAACAACACAAACAAAUAACAGGGUAAAGUAGCUAUAUAAACCAAAAUUCUAUAAAAUUUCAAUUUGAAAUUAAUAAACAUAAAUCAUCAAGUUUCAUACAAUUUCUCCAAAUCAUCAAGUGUCAUUCAAAUUCUAUAUUCAUCUUUCACAUGUUAGACUUUCACUCACUCAUAUAACAUAGACACUUGACUUUACUUCCGGAAGACUCGUGUAUUGAAAUUAGAAUCCUGAGACUUGCACAUGUCAUACUACUCGUUGUAAAUCCACACAACCAUAUGCAUAAACAUCUCAAUAUCUCAUCAUCUCGUAUGACAGGGUAAAUUCAUAUGACCUGAAAGACCAGAUUAUAUUUCAAACUCCAGACAAAGUCAUAUGAACCUCCAUCGACUCUCACCAACUGAAUAACUUCAUCUAUGUGAUUCCAUUAUAUCAGUAGAGUUAGGAUGUCUCAUUACAGGCCUGACUGAUCAAUACACCCUAACAACAAUCUCAACACGAUAUUUCCUUUCCUGAAAAUACUAUGUCUUGAUCACACUUUCAAAUCAUUGCACACUUCAUUUAACACAUCAAUACACCAUUCAAUCAUAAUAUAUAAUUUAAACUUUUUAACAAUCCAAAUAUAUCCAAAAAGUUAUUUAACAAUAGUAAUCUAAAAUAAACUAUUUUAAAAUAAUAAAAAAUAGCAAUAUUCAUAUAUGUAUACAAAAUUUUGGAUUGAUCGAAAAUAUUUUAGGUUGAUCUAAAUGACACCAGAGAGCACCAGAAAUUUUGGAUUGAUCGAAAAUAUUUUAGAUUGAUCUAAAUGACACCAGAGAGCACUAGAAAUUUUGGAUUGAUCGAAAAUAUUUUAGGUUGAUCUAAAUUACACCAGAGAGCACCCAAGAAUUUUGGAUUGAACGAAAAUAUUUUAGGUUGAUCGAAAUCACACCAAAGAGCACCCAGGAAUUUUGGAUUGAACGAAAAUAGUUUAGUUUGAUCUAAAUUACACCAGAGAGUACCCAGUAAAUUUGGAUUGAAUGAAAAUAGUUUAGUUUGAUCCAAAUCACACCAGAGAGCACACAAAAUAACAAAGUCCCUGCUAUAGCUGAAAUUACUCUAAAUCAACAUCAAACAACCCAGACUUAACAACAUUAUAAUUGUAUAACAACAACCAUAUAUCAAUUCCACAUUCAAAUCUCAAUCAAUUUCUAAUAUAAAACAAACAAUUCUGGAAGAAAGUUUGAGACUGGUGGUCACCCUCACAUCCAGAUCUUCUAGCCUAAUGUUCUAUUGGGAAUUAAAGCUAGCUUCCCUUACCUGAAAAUUAGCAGAUAUUCGCUAAGAGCUCCAAAUCCACCAAGAACUUAAAAGUAACAUAAUCUGCACCACAGAGUCCUAAUAAAAAAUUUAACUAUAUCAUUAAGACCCUGAGCUAACAGAGAUUAACCCUGAAGCUAAAAAGGUCACAUGCAAAGCAAAGACAAAAACAACCUAAUAAGUUCAAAAUUUGACUCAAAGAGUAGAGUAAAAAUGAACUUACUCUAUCAGAGAUUCUGAUCGGGCAGUCUUGUAGUACUCACUGCCAGGAAUUUGAUGGUGGACUCUGAUCGUCGAACUGAUGAACGAGGAAGUCAGAAUAUUAGAGAGAAGGGAGAGGAAAAGAAAAGAAAUUUAUAGAGAGAUGUUUUAAAAUGAAACCUGAAUAACAGAAUUUCUAUCUAUUUAUAUGCUCUUUUAAAUUUAAUAAUAAAAUAUUCAGGUACCAUUUUAAUUUUACCAUUUCUACUCUAAAACUAUUUUUCUCAAUCAUUACAUUAUUCAUAUUUUACUAUAUUUUAUUUUCAUAAACAUGCAUUAUUUUUUUUAUAUAAAGACAUUAAACGAUUCUAAAAUAAUAUAAAAUUUUGUAUAUAUAAUCUAUAUUAAAGAAAUAUUUAAUCCAACAUUAACUUUUUAAAACAUGAUUCAAUAAAAAAUAUUAAAUAAUGUAAUAUUUAAUAAAAUUUGUAUAAUUGUAAUUUGGUUUCUCUUCUUAUAUAAUUUAAUAUAUAUAUAUAUAACAAACUAUCUAUCAAAAUAACUAAGUGGGACAAAAAUUACUUAAUUAAUGAAUACCAUGAUUCAUGAAGCUCUGCAGUUGCAGAGUAUGAAAUAAUGUCUCUGUUUUGGUUUCGUUGGAAAUUUGUUGCAAGGACUAAAUCACUAUUUUAAAAUUUAUUUUAAAUCUUUUUUUCCAGUUUUUAUUACUAUGAAGUAAUUAAAUUUUUCUUACAAAAAUAUUGUUAAGUGAAAUUUUGUUAACACAAAAUCUUCCUGCUUUUGUAUAAUUACUGCCAUAUUUAUAACUUUAAUUGUUUCUCAUACUUAAAAAAUUUAUAUAAUCUUAUAAUAUUAAAUGUAUUGAGCAAAUUUAUUAUUAUGUUUUUUAUAAAUAUAAAGUAUAAAGACAGAUAUUAAGUAUAAUGCAAUUAAACAGUAAAACAAUUCUUCAAAAGACAUACUUAAAAAUGUUUGUUAAAUAUUAAUUAACUUAAAGACACGUAAUAUUAUAUUUACAUAAAAUAAACAUUUUGAUUUCUUUCUUAUUUGUGGAGCUAAAAACUAAACCAAAUAUUAUUAGAGAUAAAUAGGUAGUCAUUUAAAUUUAUUAAAUAAAACGUUAUCUUUUUUUUUCCUAAAGUUCAACCACAUUAACCUCAACGUGGAUAUUUUGUUACAAGUUAUAAAAACUUAACAAUUGAAAUUUCACUAAAAUUGUAAUUAAUUCAUAGAAUCCUUUAACCUAAAUUUUUUAACUGGCUAUUUUUUAGCUUAUUCAUUUAUGCCAAUGAGGUUACUAAACUUGGCUUUAUCAUCAUUUCUUUUGGGGUAAGGGACAUGUGCAUGUAUAUGUAAAAAUAAAACAUUAUAAUUGUAUACAAUUGUAGUCUAGUGAGCAAGGUCAGCUGAGUCAAUUAUCAGGUCAUAGACCAACUAUUUUUGCUGUGGAUUUGAAUAUCUUAAUAGAGAAUAAUUUGUGAGUAUAUUUAUGAAUACUUUAUAAUCGUUUAUGAAUGUCCUGAUUUUGAUGAACUCAAUAAAACUUACCUAAAUUUUCAUGUAAUAAAGAAAACCAAAAACACAUAGCAGAGAUCUCAUAUAAUAUAACCAAUAUUGGGUAUUAAGCCAGCCCAAAAGCUGACUAAACACCGUGUUUAGUAGGUGGGUUUAAUCAUUGUGUUCCUUUUAUAAUUUCAGUUUAAAAAAAUAAUUGUACUUGUAAUUAGUAUGCAACAUGAUAGAAUGAAAACUUAAUAGUUGUUCGUGUGAAUGUAGGUUGCAGUUGACGAUCGAAUCACACGUUAAAUUUUGUGUUGUUUUUUUUUUUUACAGUUGAUUCGUGAUCAUGUGUGUUGCUUCGACGUACGUUUUUCCCAUUAACUAAUUUUUUUCAUUUCUCUUUAAGGGUAAGCAAACCGUAUUAAUGUUUAGUUAGCCAAAAAGAUGAAAUUGCAACUGUGGAAGUUCGUGCUACCUUUGAUGGUGAAGGGUAACAAAAACAUGAAUGAUUUGAGAAUAUUGCAGAAGAAAGUGCAAAAUGGCAAAGUGUGUAAAAAAAGAAAAAGAAAGAGUAAAGAAAAGCAACACCUGUCGUCACAUACCAAUGGCCCUUGUCAACAAUAACUUAAAACAUGUUUGACUUAUGGAAUAUAGUUGGAACACUUUUGUUUCAUCUUCUCUCUGUGCUUUAUUUUCUUUUAGUUUACGAAGAUCUAUGCAAAGUUGCACUAGUAACGAAUUUUCAUGAAUAUGGUGGACCAUUGUUUACUUUGCAUAGCAAGCUUUCACUUUAGUUUCUGAUGGGGCAAUGGGUUUCUCUUCCCUCACCUACUUUGUUCCUCACUGUAGCUGCACCAAGUACUGUUACCAUUAAACACCGCCAAGUUAAGCUCCAUGCUUUCACUUCAUUCAUCAUACUUCAUUCGGUUUGAACAUUACAUGAAGCAGCCCAAAAACUUAAUGCCCUCAAAUUCAAAUCUUAAUUAAAUAACUUGUUAAAUCACCCUAAGAAUGUAAUCAUCCGUUACAAAGAAGGUGCAAAAGUUAAAUUCUUUAUGCUUUGUCAUCUAAUUAAUCAGACAUUUACCUAGGUGCAGCAGAUCUGAAGUUAAUUAUAUAAUAUACAUUACUUUCGGGGUCUUCAAGAAUUUUUAGCAACAGAGAAGUAUAUCAUUAUUAAAGCGUGUGAGUCUAGUGAAUUUCUGUUCUUGUGGUUGAUCUUAAUCCAACAAAAUCUUUUUAAGGAAAUCUGGUUUUAGUGUAGACACGUAAAAGGAUAGGCUUUAGAUUUCAGUAGCUAAACUCAUGAAAAAGCCCGAUACAUACAUUGUUUCCUAGUCCCUGCAAAGGAUGCCUCAUCGUAGACAGAAUAUUUAUUGUGACAACGAAAAUGUCUGCCAAGGAAAAUGGUUUAUGCAGAUAGGCAACAGUAACUCCACAUGGAUAACACCAGAUGGACAUUACUCACAAGGUUAUGCUUGUAGGUUGUGCAUUGAUAGUGAUCAAAUAGAGUGUAACUCUUCUUCUGAGGUGAGGAUGAAACCAAGAUGUUAAUAUUGUGUUCUAUGCCACAACAAGAGCAAAGUAGCACUAUGAAACAGGAUUAGUAGUUGUACAUUUCUCUUAAUUCUUAGUUCUAUCACAUCUGGUCCUUUAAAAGUACUGGUAUUUUUCAAUUUCACUCUACCAAAUCGAACUAUGAUGAGUGAUUAGAUAAAAGAUGAUCUGAUAAAUUCAACAAACUCGUAUUAGAUAUCUGUUACAGUAUUAAAUGUAUUUUGAGAUGUAAAACCACAAACCAUGAAGGCACAAAGUGGAGAAAUGAAGAGAGAAUAAAGCAGAAGUUCUGCUUAACUGAGGCCUACAAAUCAAAUAAGGAAAUUAGUUGUUUAAUGCACCAACUUUUAAGGAGCGUUCUAUAGGGAUGAUUCAGAUAUGCUAUAGAAUACAGUAGUGCAUCAUUUGUAUUUUAUUGGAAAAUUGAUCUCUUGUUGCAUUGAGGGGGCCAACUUUUGCUUAGGUGAGAGACAUUAAAUCUUGUUGCAUUGAGGGCCAACUUGCAACUUGAAAGUGCUGUAACUAUCACACUAGUUGCCCACGUUCAGGGCAACUAAACCUACCAAGGAAGACAGAGAUAGGAACCUGAUGGCUCAUGACAACAAAAGGGUGAAGCUUCUUCCCUUCUCCAAGGGUAAACUGAUUAAUUGCAAUACAACACUCACUGCAUCCAUCUCACCAAGCACCAACUUUUUGGCCAUUAAAGAAAAUUCCAUCAGUACAAUAUCUUUAUACAACGUUUUACAACUGUUCAUAUACAGAAGAUAGUGAAUCAAACUAAUGCCCUAGUUCAGUCCCCCCAGAGUUAAUACUUGUUGCCUUCUCCACAAGCACCAAAUUUAAUACCACCUAGAACAUUUUAUCAAUUCUCAUACUUUUUUAAAGGUAAUGUAUUUCAUACUCUUUUUUGUGGAUUUUUCAUAAUAAUGAAUUGAGUGUUAAUUUGUUAGAAACAAAGACAAUUGAAUGAAGUAAUUUUGAAAUUGUGUUAACCAAAUCAUAAUUAUUAUGAAUGAUGAAUUUUGACUUACAUGUUCAAAUAAAAAUUUUCUAACUAAUUUAAUGAAAAAAAAAGUCUUGGAGAAAUAAAGUUAAUGUAGAUAGGGCUCCUAAAAGUGUUAAUGUAGAGAGGGCUCCUAAAAGUAUUAAUGAGACUUGGCGAAUAAAAGUAAUAUUUUGGUAAAUGUUAAUAAUGGAAAGAACAUUUAAGGAACUGAUAAGAUGUAGGCUUUUAAAUUCUUUCAAGACCAAUUGAGGAAGAGUUGAAGUACCAUUGAGACUAUUGAAAGAGGUUCAAAAUUAUGUUUUGAAAGGUCAAGAUUGAAUAUUUGAAUUCAAGAUUUAAUUCAUAUUUAGCUUUAGCAGUUGUUAGAAGUUGUAUAAAACUAUUUUGAUAAUAAAGUUAAGUUAACUAUUAAUAGGAAGAGUAUGGUUAUCCACUAAAAAAAUUAAUUAAUUUUAGAGAUCAAAGAGUAUGGGUUGUAUUGGUGGCAAAAAUUUUAAUAGCUAAUUAGAUACCAAUUUAAAAAUUAUUUAUCAAUAAUAUAAACUAAUUUAGAAACCAAUAAUUUUUUGUAAUCUAUAAAAUAGUCUCUAAUUUAAUCAUUAUAACAAUUAAUUAUUUUUUAUUUCUAAAAAUAGUUUCUAUUUAAUUAUUUUUUGCGGUAACUUCUCUUCUCUAAAUAAAUUUCUCUUGUUAUAUGUUGGAUACUUGUGAAAAAUGCUUAUAAAUUUUAAAAUAUCAAUUCAGAUAAAAAUUAAUUUUAAAGUAUAAUUUAAAUAAAAUUACACAGAAAACUAUUAAUGUAAAUAAAUUUGCUCUCUCUAAAAGGAUAAGUUUAAAUGAGUUGCAUUAUAAAGCAUCAGUUUUACAAAUUUAAUCUUUUUAAAAAUAACUUCAAUUUUAUAUUUUUUAAAACAAUAUAAAUAUAUAAAAUCAAAUUCUAAAAUAUUCUUUAAUUGUUGAUAUUUGUUCACUAAUAAUUUUAUUUUGAUUACUUAAUUUUUAAAAAAAAAUUACUAAUAAUAAUUAGCAUGUACCAUAAUACUUUGUAUCUAACCCAUCAACGAAUAAUUAAAAUAAGUGUAUCCAUUACUUGCAUGGUUACAUAGUGGGUACGAAUUAUUUUUGUUUUCCCAACACAACAAAAAUCAAGUAUUGUAUCUACUUUGUCUCUCUUAUACUUUUCUCAGGAUCAUUUUUGAGAAAUUAUGAACCAAUGAAGGGUUUGGAAUAUUUUUUAUAAACACUAUUAUAAGAGGAAAAAAUUAUAAAUUAAAAUGAACCUAUACUUAAAUUUAAAAAGUAAAAUUAUAUGAUAAACUUCUUACGAAUUAACUUAUAAAAAACUUAUUUUAAUUUUUUCUCUCUCUUACAAAGAAUUAUAAAAAAUUGUCCUAACACCACUAUUUCUUUCUUAUGGAUCAUAUAAAUUAUAUUAGAUUAAUAGACUUAAAUUUCCUAUUUAGUUUGGAAGAGACCAGACAUUUUCUUCUUGUACCUCCAUAUACUUAUGAAAAGUUAGAUUUAUUCUUAAUAAAAUUUAAAUUUCUGCAUCCUUCAUCAUCUUUCGUUUCAGUAUAAUAUUUCGAAUUUUAAAUUUAUUUUUGAAUUUAAAAAAUAAAUUUCGAAUUAUAAAAUUUAAAAACUAAUUUUAUAUUCUGACUUCUAAAGUUCAAAAGUUAUUUAUAAAUUCAAAAUAUGAUUUUCAAAUUGUAAAAGUCAAUUUUCUAUUUCAUAUUCUACAAUUCAAAAGUUAUUUAUAAAUUAAGAAAAUAACUUUUGAAUUAUAAAAUUUAAAAUACAAAUUUAAAAAAAGUAUUUUUAGAAUUAAAACAAUUAUAGAGGUGCACUAAGAAAUUAUGGAGAAUGAGGAAGAAACUAUGGGACAGGAAGAAAUUGGGCAAUAGACUAUAUAGGUUGGGCCUUGAAGACUUGGAAGCUAUCGUUUUUUGUGUCAUAUACCAGACUUUUUCUUCCUACACCUCCAUACCUUUUUUGCCACCCCAUACUAAAUAUGAAAAUACCAUUUUAUUCUUUUUUUUCUACCCCUUUGGAUUUGAAAUAAUAAGCCUAUGGAUUAUGUAAUCUGGAUAUAUUCUGAAUUACAUAAUCCGGAAGUCAAUUUCAUAUUUAGAAAAGACUUCCAGAUUAUGUAAUCCGGAAGCUAAUAACACAUCUGAAAAAAAGGCUUUCGGAUUACAUAAUCCGGAAGCUAAUCUUAUGUAUAGAAAAGACUUCUGGAUUAUGUAAUCCGGAAGCUAAUCACAAAAGACUUCUGGAUUACAUAAUCAAGAAGGUAAUUCUGAAUCUAGAAAAAGACUUUCGGAUUAUGUAAUCCGGAAUAUUAAAAAGGGUAUUUUUGGAAUAUGAAAAAUUUAUGGGAGUGGCACAAGAAGGUAUGGAGGUGCAGGAAGAAGCAGCCCAUAUACCAUUGUUUAGCAGGCUUUUUUAAAAUGCGAGCGUAACAACCAAUAAAAUAUUAAUUUAAUGUUUAACAUAAUAUCACUUAUUACUUUGAAUUUUAAUAUUAGAAAAAAAAAUCAUCUUUAUUUUGAAUGUAUUUUUUAAUUUAUUUUUCAGCUUGGUUAAAUAUUAAGUAAUUUUAUUCUUUUAACUUAAGUGUGUAUUAGUUUAGUUGUUAAUGUCAGGGAUCCUAUUAAAUUAACUGUGACGAAAUUCAAGAUUUGAAAUUAAUUUAUUUAAUGAGGUUAGAUAAUAAAUUAAUUAAUAUAUUAAUCUUAAGAGUUGAAAUUUAAAUUUAAGUCAACUUUACAUAAAUUUUUAUGUGUUUCUUAUUUGUACAUACUACAUAUUUUAUAAAUAUUCUGAUAAGGAAUGAAAUGAUAAAUUCAAUAAAUUUGUAUUAUGUAUUAGGAUAGAUUUUAAAUCUCUGAUAUUUUAAGAAAUAGAUUUUAAAUUUUAUUUAAUCGUAUAAUUUGUAAAAUAAAAAUUACACUUACUUUUAUUUAUUUAUAUAUAUUAUGAAUUAAUCUUAUUUAUAGAGUAUGUCAAAAUUUUAAUAAUAAAUUUUAAAAAUUAAAUGAAUAGCUUUUGUGCGUGUAAUGCAUGGAGAUUGAACUAAAACUCCAUACAUAUUAUCCGCAACCCCAUUACUAAAUAAGCCUUAGUGGGUUAAUUUGAUUGAUGAUCUUUAAAAUAUAGACUAAUAAGGGUACCAAGUUAUAAGUAGGCGUAUAUUAUCUCUCCAAUAAAAGUUAUAGAUGAAAGUUACAGCCUAGUUUAUAUUAAGCUUAGAUUAUGCAAAAAUUAUUUACUAAAUAGGUUAGAUCAAAUAUUUUUAAAAUCAUAAUUAUUUAAUAUAACAGUGUUCAAUUGUUAAUGUUUUAGUCUAAUAGACUUAGGUUUUUAAGACAACCAUAAUAAAUCAUAAUCAUGUAAGCUUAUAUUAUUAUUAUUAUUAUUAUUGAAAAAUUGAAAUAAAUAAUACAAUAGUGUCUAUCGUGAUCAUCACUUCAAUAUAUCUAUAUCUGAUAUUUCUGAUUUAUAGAAGACUAAACUAUCUGUGUUUUUUCUUAGUCCAGAUGUGUGUAGAAGAAGUGCGAAUGUGAUGUACCAAUCUCCACGGACAUGAAAGGUGUGUUGGAAGCCAGAGAAUCAAAUUGACUCAAGGUGGAACUCUGCCUAAUGUUUUCCACAAUUUGGUUUAUAGAAUCAACCAAAUAUUCAAGCCUCACAGUAGUAACCCAACCUACACUUCACUCAUCUCUAUUCCUCCUUUUUUGUCCCACACAUAAAAUCAUUUUCAUCUUUUAAGAUUUGAUUAUUUAUGUAUAAUCUCUGUGUUUCUCCAUGAAUGCAAGUUGGUAAGUGUUAACCUUGAGCUGUGAAGUAAAAGUCUGUUUGAAUGUCAAACUUAGGUCCAAGUUAGUUGUGUUUGUAUGGCAGAUUAGUUUCCUAUUGGUUGACCAAAGUUUGAUGGUUUGUGUUGUUUAGUGAUGCAUGAGUGGCGCCAUUUGCGGCUUCUUUCACUGUCCACAAUCUGCAUUACCGCGUUUUCACUGUUUUUAUGAUUAAUUCUCAUAUUAGUUUGAUACUGUAUAUCAUUCUAAGUGUUGAGAUGUAUUUGUUUGAGUAUUUAGUUAGCUAAAUCAAGGGUUUUGGUACUAUAGUACAACUACAAUGUAUAUUGAUUAUGUUCUUCAUCAAUUACCAAUCAUUAUGAUACUAUACUUAACAAAUAUCUCAUCCAUCUCACUUUUUCUUUCCUUGCCCUUCUCACUAUAUAUCUCCAUGCCAUGCCACUGCACAGUAUCACAUUCUACAUUUCUAUAAUUGAGGUGCCCACUGGCUGCUGUUAGAUGCACAGAUAUUGUUUCACACUUGCAAGGGAAAAACGUGUAUGAGAAGUUGAUUAAAGGGUGAAGCAAAAGAAAGAAAAAUAGAUGGAAGAAUUCACAACCCUUUAUUUCCUUAUCAGAAAUUCUGUACAAAUAUUUUUUGUGAGUUUUUCUGUGAACUGAUACAUUUAGGUUCUGGUAUAUUGUACAAUGAAAACAAGCCAAGUUGGACACACACAAUUAAUGAUAAAAUAAUCAAUUUUUAAAAGGAAUGCUAAAGGUAAAAUCAUUUUGUAUUUUAAUUCUUUUUGUCAAACAAACAGCUGCUGUGAGGAUCCAUUCCAUAGACCAUAACAGUGAUUAUGAUAACGGCCUAAGCACACUUCAGUCACAAGAUUUUUUCAACAGUGUGGCCAAGACACCUCAGUAACAGUGAGUUUUCCAGAAAGAGCAUACAGAGUAUUUUUUAUAUUAUUUUCUGUGAUUUUAUUUUUCUACGAGAUUAUCUAUCUUUUUUUUCAUUUAUAUAUGAAACUGUACAUGUUGAACAAAAUUAAAAUAUAAGUAAUUAUUUUUUAGAAAAGAGAUGUACUAGGACAAGGAUUGGUACACAAAAUAAGAAAUGUUCUGAGAGUAGUAUAUAAUUUAACCUUUUCUUUUUCGCCCAAUAUAAUUCAAUUCAACCCCCUUUUUUAUACCAUAAUGCAGCAUGUUACGUUUGUCUGCAGAAUCUCUCUUUUUUCGACCCCAAUUGCCAUGCUUUCAUUGAGCAUGAUAGUAGUCAACAUUUUCUGCUAAGAAGAAAUAUUUGUGAACUCACGUUAAAACUAUGGAAGCAUGUAAGUGAAAACAAGUUUAGAUGCCAAACACGGACUUAAUUAAUAUAAUGAAAAAGAAAUAGAAAAAAUAUUUGGAAAAGCACAAGAUUAGACCUGCAUAAUGAUAACAACCCUAACAAAGGCUUAACAUAAUCAUACACCACACCAGUAACAGAUCCUCUGUUCCUAAAUUUUGGGUCCACCCAACCCGACAAGCAGAACUCAAAAACCUUCCCUUUGGUCGUUGGACACACUCAUCUCCACGAUCCACCAACUCCACACCAUUUCUCUUUGUUGUUGAUGUGAUCUUUCAGAGAUCAAUCAAUCUCACUUCACACCCACACACACUCAAACUAAAUGCUUGUUGGACUACAGUAUCUUUGUUACAUGAUAAUAAUAAUAAUAAUAAUUUAAGAGAAAUCAAAUAAAGGUCCCUAAGAAGCAAAAGUAGAAUGUGAAGAGUUGAAAAUGCCAAGGACAAAUCUUCACCAAAGUAAAGCCAGAAAGCCUAAACCAAGCACUUCUUCUUCUUGAUCAUCCUUGUCUUCUCUCUCAACGAGUUAAAUCCGGAUAACUUGUGUUCUGUCCUAGAACAAGUGAACAACCACUGUACAGAAGCUAGAUCAGUCGCGUACCAGCUUGUUACUUUUACCCUCUAAUCCUAAAAGCUUGCGGAUAAAUAUAUAAAUUAGAAACUAAAUAUGUGAAUCUGACUUGGGGGAAGUAAGUCAGUGAAGCACUAGCCUUUGGUACUUGGUCUCGGUGGGAGAAUCAGAGCCAUCACAGAAGAUCCUUUUUCGACUAACCCUUCCGCAGUUGGCUGUGGUGCUACUACCGUCAGUGUUAAAAAAGGAAUCUUGGUGGAGGAGUUGUGGUUGUGUUUGUGGUGUUGAUUGUGACUGUGAUUGUGGUGGCGGUGAAGGUAUGGUGACUGGGGGAAUCUCAAAGGACUCAAGUGGGGGAGGAGGGUGUCUCCAUUGGGGAAGAGGUCCUGCAAGGAGAAGGGUCUGAAGGAGAGGACCAGCUUUCAUCACUGCUUGCAAGAGCUUACCCUUUUCUGGUAAUGGUUUGUCAGGUGUUAGCUCAAUCAUGGAUUGUGGUAAUUGUGGUGGUUGUGGUGGUAACUGGGGUUGAUGUUGAGACAGAUGGUCAAUGACGGGAGAGGAAACAAUGCUCUCUUCACAAUCUGAUGAUGAGAGGCCAUUGUUGGAGUCAAUUCCUCUUCUUGGCUCAUCCUCAAUGCUAGAAAUUCCAGACACAGGAGCUGCUUGUUGCUGGUGUUGGAAAACUAUCUUCUCCAAGAGUAGACUCUGGCAUUUCUCUUGCGCUUCAUCUCUCUCUCUCAUGGUUUUGCUGAGGAGUUCCUUUAGGUUGAGUAGUUGGUCAUCCCUCUUUCUGAGCUCUUCUUGGACUGCAGCCCUUGUUUGUUCAAGCUCCACAGUUGUGCAUAUGAGAGACUGUCUCAGCUCCUCCAUUGACUGCACCAAUUGAAUUAAACAAACAACAGCGAAAAAUUAGUGCUCAAAUUCAAGCAAUCAUCGCCCCAUUACAGUUGUUUUAAGACAAAUAGAUUCAACCAAGGACUUUGAAAUGAUCAAUGUUGAUGGGUAAGAGAAAGUAGCUACCUUUCCCUGGAAGUAGUAAGCCCAGCUUAUGAGAGGGCUACGCUGGUUGUCCAUGCUCUGAAGUUGCAACUCCCAAGAUGAGAAUUUAGAUAAUAAUAUAAAUAUGUGCGUUUUGAAAGAGGAAAGGGAAAUGGAGGGAAGAGAAAAUGGGGAGAGAGUUAGGAGUGUUGUGUGUGAAGGAACAAGGUGUUUUAUAAGUAGUCGAUGUCACUGUUGGGUGUUGAGGGAAGAAAUGCACAUAAAAAGCCAAAAGGGAAAGAGAGGCAAAAUCGUAGGAGUAGUGGUGGUGGUGGUGGUAUUUUGAUUUUCAAUUUGGUAACAUAUAUUAUGGGAGAAAAGGAAAGGGAUAGUAGGAAUGGCGGGGAGAAAAAAAAGAGCAGUAAAAGCGGGAGCAAGAAGGCAGUAUCUGAGACACGUCCUCUUCACGUCUAUUACUUAGCUUUUCUAGCCAUUUGCAUAGUAUUGAGCAAUAAAAAUUUAUGAAAGUGACCGUAGUGACCGUGGAAAACAGUUAUGAAGAGGUGGAGUGAAGAUGACAUUUAACAUAAGAGAACCAAAUAUACUAGAAUCAUGUCUUUUUUUCCUUUUGUUUGUGUAAAACUAGAAAACUGAAGGGGUAGAAGUCUCCCCAAAUGUCGUAGAGUUGUAAUAAAUUCAGGCGGAGUCUAUUGGUAAGACUUAUAUUCAUAUCUUGAGGACAACAACAUUUAUAACGCAUCUCCAAUUUAUUACUCAUUGCGCCUUUCGAAUCAACCCUCACUUCCCAAAACUUUUAUUUUUCAUGCUCUUCGUAUCUAAUCAAACCAAAAAUAUACAAACACAUCUUCCACUAAGCUAUUUAAUCGUUUUCAACAGUUUUAAGUAUCUCUAUCACUCAUUUUUAAAGGUUUCUACUGGAAAGUAAUGUAAUUUUUUUCAUAAAUUAAGAUUUUGGGUAAAAAAUAAUCUUGUUCACAAAAAUGGGUAAAUCAUACACCAAGAUAAGUUUUACUUCCUGCAUACAAUUUUUGGAUGAAAAAGUCGUAUCUCAUUAGUACAACUUUAUCAGUUCUAUUAAAAAAAAAUAAUACGACAUUUGAAAGACUUUGAUUAAAUCUGAAAAAAUAAAUUUAAAUGAAGUCGUAUCAUACAUAUACAACUUCAGUUGUAUUAUUUUACAUUGAAGUUGUCUGCCUAUUUUCAUUCUAAAAUAGUUUAUAUAAUAUAAAAAAAAAUCAUUUUUUUAAAAAAAAUUAACCAAAAUCGUUUUGUCUUGGAAAAAAAAUUGCACUUCUUUCUUGAGAAAAAACAUUUUAAAACCUAAUUUAUACUUAAUCCUCACUUACAUAAAAGGUGACUUACACAAAUGUAAGUAACAUAACAAAAUAAUAUCCAUUCCCAUUAGGUCGGCUAAAUAAGAAAGGGAGCAAAGAUCCAAACAAAAUAAUAUCCAUUCCCAAUAGAAAGGAAGCAUGAAUCUCAUUCCUUGGAAGAGUGGACUAAUUAAGACCCAAACAACAACAAGACUAGAGGUACUUACAAACCUCUUACUGUGUAUCCAUGUAACUAAAAAUUUAGCUUAGUAAUUAUUUAAUUCCACCCAUCUCAACCCUUUGUGUGGGUGGAGUUUUCAAACUUCAUUUUCGAUGGGUUUGAUUAUAAAAUUACUUUCCACAAAAUAAUGAAUUUAAAUUAAAUCUAUUGUUAAAAUUUGUGAAAUCAUGAUGAUAAAAAUAUAUUAAAAUUAAUAUUUGUUUAAAACUUAAAAAUAAUUUCAUAAUAUAAAUUAAUAUAUAAUUUAUAUCUGACAUAAGACUUUCAACUGAAUUUUUAAUAUCUUUCUUUCAAGUGUAAGUAUGUUCUAUAUUGGUAUACCUCUGGCAAAAGAGAAAUAUGUCACAAGUAAUUCUAAAUGUGAGUACUUUUAUAUUGGUAUAUCUUUCUUUAGCAGAAAUAUUUUUUUUAAGUAUGAGCACCUCCACCAUAACUCUUAUUUGUGUCAAUGUUUAUCACAAUUAUCUAAAAUACUUGUAAAAAAAGCUUCAAAUGUGUAGAAUCGAUAAACUCAGAAUUUUGUAAAAAUUAUUUUGCUCGAGUAAAAAAAAUUACAUCCUAAAUAUAAGUUAUAAUUUUUAGGCCAACAAUAAUAAAAUCACGAUAGUUGCUUUUGUAUUUUCAAGUUAUCAUAUUAAAUUUUGUUUUAUUCAAUGCUGGCAACCGUCUAUAUUUAUACUGGAUCACUUAAAAUCAUGAUUUUAUGUUUUGUUUUAAGUUAAAAUAUUAGUUCUUCAUUAAAAAUGUGAGUUAAAACAAUUUAUGUAGUUUUGAAAUUAGAUAAAAAGAAGUAUACUAAAUUUUAUUAUCAAGAUUCUUUUAGAAUAAAAAUAUUUAAAUAACUACUCUAAUUCAAAUUUAGUUUUAAUCAAAACUAUUUUCAUAAUAAUUGAUUUUAUUAAAAUCAAUUUUAUAAAUGUUGAGAUAUCUCUCCACAUAUAUAUAUAAUAUUUAAAAUCACGAAUCAAUUUUAUUAAAAUAGUUGUUAAGUGGGUUUUUUUUAUUGGUGAACUAUGAGGCUCAGACACUUCUCUUAAAUGGGUGUAUCCGUGUCGGACAUACGUAUCAGUGUUGACACUCGUACGACACUUAUCAGUGAAGUGUUCAAUUCAAAAAAAUAUUUAUUGGAUUUUUGAAAAUUCUAACACAAUUUUAAAAGGCAUAAAUACAAUAAUUUUCUAAAAACUCAAAUUUAUUGUAUAAAUUUUUAUUAUGAUUAUAAAAAUAAGGAACAAAUUUUUUUGAACCAGUCAUGAAAAAUAUUUUCCUACUCCCAAAAGAAUCUGAAACAUACUUUUGCACAUAAAUAUUUAUUUUCAAUUUAUAUAAUUCAAAAUUAUAUAAUAUAUAGAUCCGUGUCCCCGAAUCCUACAUUUUAGAGAUUAUACGCAUCUCCGUGUCCGUAUCCGUGUCGUGUCAGUGUCCAUAUUCGUAUCUAUGCUACAUAGCUGUGAAAAUAUCUUCCGAUUUAAAGAGUUAAUCUCAUGCACUAUCAUUGAUAUACUAAAAUGGAAACUCCUCCAAAAAUUUCAAUAGUUUUUACAACAUAAAUCCAUGGACAAUGUUACUAAAUUUGCAUAUAUAAUUGUAAAUAUUUGUCUUGCUUGACUAUUUCAGCAGCUGAGUGAGGAAUACUUUUGCCAAAAAUAUUGACAAUUUUUUUUUGUAUAUGUCCAUAAUAUAGCAGUUGCCUGAACUGACUAGUCACUAAAGUUAAAUUAAGUUUAUCAAUGAUUUCAAAGUUAAAUCGUAUAAUUACAUUAAACAACCAUUUAAGUUUCCAAUUAGGUAGGUUUCUUUUAACUUACACUUGGAACUUGGAGAGAAUUUUUGUUUGCUAGUUUAAAUAAAAUAAUUAAUUCUCCGUUGAUAAAAGAAAAAACCCACUACGUUGAUUUUUCUAUUCAAUAAAGUUUUCUGUCUUGAACUAGAAUAAUCCCCACUUAAUAUAAAUAAACGAAUGGAAAUUGAUUGAUUCUUCUAUUAAAUUUUCAACCUGCUAUUUAACGAGGUACCUACCCUUAAAAAAUUUGAAUGAGAGAUUUUCUCUUCCCUUUUUCCAAUUGUAAAGAAAAACUAAAUUAUCAAUAUAAGAAUACAAUGAUAAAUUAUUUUUUUCAUAAUAAAGUAGAAAAUAUCAUAUUUUAGAUCUUAUUCAUGAGUGUGAUAUUGAGAUCUCCAUUAAAUAGUUGAUAGUUUUCAUUCAUAAAAUGGUAGAUUCAUUUAUCUAAUCAGUUAUAUUUUAAGACAAUAUAUAAGAUACUCUCUAAUAUUCAAGCCUCUUUAUAUUAUGACUUUUAUGUUCACAACUUUUGUCCUUCGCUUAGAAAAUAAACAUUUUUAUUAUAAAUAUUAUUAUGAUUGACUAUUGUAUUUCAUAUAUUAUUAUUUUGGAGUUUGUAACAAUCCUAUGUAAUGGAGGCUAAUAAAUAAAAGUGACGUGAAAUUCUUAUUUUUAUGUUUAUAUAUUAGGUUAAUGGUUGGAUCUUCAAUCUUUUAAGAUAAUAUAAUUAAAAUUAAUCAUUGCAUUUAGUAUAUAUUAUUAUUUAUAAAAUUUGAUAUUUUUCUCAUAAUUUUGUUAUUAAAAAAUGUUUGUCGAGAUAAUAAGGUAUAUAAGUUUUUCUAUGUUUAGACUUUUAAGCUUUAUUCUAAAUAAUAAAGACAUCGAGUCAUACCUUCAAGUCUUGGCGUCAAGUCAUGGCUUUGAGCCUUAACAUUGAGUUAGUCUAGUGCAAGUAUCAAGAUUAAUCAAGUUAUAACUAGUGUUGCAAAAACAGAGAUAAAUGUAGAAAGGGGAAGAUUGGGUCUUAAAAAUGUUUUGCAAAUUUCUAUAAGAUGAUUAAGGAGUAAUUGUUUAAUAGUUAACAAGAGUUUAAGAGAAGGUACUAGGAUUCAAAGUUUUGACAUACUAUAUUGGUUCUAUGCACUACAAUAAUAUCAUUCAAUACCAAAUGAUUUAGAGACACUUUAUAGAUUUUAAAAACUUGAUAGCUAAUAUUAAAUAUUAAUUUAUAAACUAUUUUAUAGAUUUUAUUAAAAAUAAAAACUACUUUAAAUACCAAUAAUUUUUUAGUUUAUAAAAUAGUAUAUAAUUUAGUCAAUAUAAUGAUUAAUUAUUUUUUAUCUUUAAAUUAAUAUUUGUAUUUUUUAAUAAGAAAUGAAUGUAGUAUGAUAAAUAUAAUAUUGAUUACGAUUAAAACUUGUUUUUUUCACAUCGAUUUCCCAACAAUCUCUGUUAUAAAUGUGACGUAAAAUCACAAUUGUGUACUUGUGAUUUUCUUUUACUCACGUCGUAGUGUUAUUGACAUUUCGACUUCCAUUUACUAUUUCUAAAUAUAUUUAACACCUCUUACUUAUAUUAUGAAUAUGAGAUAAUCAUUUUGUUAAAAAAAAAAUCAACUAAAAAUUAUCAAUUUUCAGGAUACACGAGAUCCUUAAGCUGCAAACGACAAAGUAUCUAUAGAUGAAUUGAAAAAAAAAAGUGUGGACUACACACGUUUUCUCAAAUGCACCUAAAUAAUUGAAUGAAUCUCGUUGUUGCUUGCUUAUUUUUUAUGUGUAUAUAUACAAAUAUAUAAGAAGUGAGUGGUUUCAUCAUAAAAUAACAAGUUUCUUUUGCUGAUCAUCUACACUUUUUUACAUUGGAUUUUGCUAUAGAAAAAAACAAAGGAGAGAAGAGGAAAAUCAAAGAAUAAAUUAGGCUGAGAUUCUCUUGUAUUAAAUGUUGAAUGGUAAUAGCGUAUAAAUUCAAAUCGCUAAGCGUGCUUGUUAUCGAUAACUCUUUUCUUAAACUUGCAUUUUGGUAUGCAUCAUGCUGCGACUCCAUUAUUCAAAAACGAUCUUUACAAAAAAAGGAAAGCAACUUAAUUUUUCAGCAUGCCCUUUUUGACAAACCAAGUAGAUGAAAGAAAAUAUGUAUUUAUGAAACAUCUCAAUGCACACUCGUCUUUGACUUCUUGAGUAUCUCCACGUGAUUACCAUACUAUUACUCCACAACCUUUUCAUUAUUUCUCUCCCACUCAAACAAAUACUCACAUUAUAUAUUAAAAAAUAAUAAUAAUAAUAUUAAAAUAUAGAAUUUAAUUCUAAUUUAAUUUUAUAAAAUCAAUUUAUAAGAUAAGAUUUGCAGUUAUUUAUAUAUUAUUAUGUCUUUAUUUCUAAUGAGAUCUUGAACACACGUCUCUAAACAGUUACAGAAAAAAAUACCAAAUAAAUAAAAGGAAAUACCAAAUAAGGUAAAGUAACAGAUAAAUAGAAGGCUAAGAGAUAUUACUCUCUUUGAUCUUUGUCUGCUUCCUUGGGCUUGUUAAUAUCAAUUACUGGGUCAAGGAAUAUUAUUAGUUUGAUUGGUCAGAAAAAGGAGCUGGUAACCAAACUUUCCCACCAAUAUUUGUCCAAAGAAAGGUGAUGGACCCCUUUCAAACAACAAAGUCCUACCCUAAGGAAACAAAAGGAGCUUCCAUUUGACUUAAUCAAGACCCUAAACCUGCAAUUUGUAGGAAAAUUAGUGACAUCUUUGUUCAACUUCGUAGGGUAUACCCUACAUCUUAUUAUGGUAUAACAAAUCCUCUCUAGUACAAGACACGUGUACGUUUUCAACCUACAAGACAACAACCGAUGGCUGUCAAACAAAUGAUGAGGGUAAAUUAGUUAAAAUUCGUUAAUGGGUUUUUAUUUAUAUGUUUUUUCUUUUUUCACUUGGAAGAAAGAGAAGAGGAAAUCCAGUUGAUGAUAAAAGCCCCAAACCCAAGGGAACAAAGUGGGGCGCCGCAUCUUUAUGUCCCAUCUUGGUUUUUAUUUAUACCUCUCCUUGGUUUUUCAUUAGUGAAUAGUUAUCUAUUACAUAGACUCAUAUAAAAUUUUUAAAAUUAGAAUAAAAGAAUACGAAUUUAUAUAUUAUAUAAUUAUAAAUUAUAUAAUUUGAUAAUAAAGAUUUAUGCGCACAAUAAUGUUUCAGAUUAUCUUUUGGAGCAGAAAUAUGUUUUUGCAUGACUGGUUCACAAGGAUUUGUUUCUUAUUUUUAUAAUCAUAAUAACAAUUUAUCCAAUAAAAUUUGAUUUUGUAGAAAAUUAAUGUAUUUUUUUUUAAAACUGUGCUAGAAUCGUACUAUAAUUGUCAUAAAUCUAACAAAUACUUUUUGAAUUAGACACUUCACGGAUACGUGUCUUACAGGUGUCAUACGAGUAUCGGACACCGACACGUCAUUUAAGAGGAGUGUCUGAGUUUCAUAGGUGAAUAGGUGAAUAGUGAGAGAGUGAUUUGUCCUCUUAUACUUUCCUAAUUGAAUUAGUGAACACAAUCUUUAGAAUAUGGUACAAAGAGAUGUUGCCCACUUGAAGGAUUAUUUAAAUAACUUGAGGAUGUUUUGGCCUUUGUGCUCUCCACUACGGUCUUCUAUAAUUAAUUUAUGGCGUUGAUGAAUUAGGGUGUGGCAUAUGUUAUCAUACACCAUUACCAAGCGUGCAAAGAGGUCAUCUUCCUACUUGUAUUCAGUAUAAUUUCAUGCCCACAAUGUUUCUCAUUUCAUAACCUUCAAUUACUAUUUAAGAAUUCAAUGUUAGUUAGUAUAGUUAGCAUACCGGUCGCUCUAAAAGGUGUAUAUAUAUUAUUCUAUUUCUUAGGCAUGUUAUCAACCCAUAAUUUCUUAUUCAGGCAUGAUACUAUCAAUUAUGGUUAUUAAUCAAUCAAAAUAACCAAAAGCCAACCCAUAAUCCAUAUAAUCUUCAGACCUAGUCCAGUUAAUAAAUUUGGAAAUAUACAUCAUAUCAUGUUUAACCUUUAAUUUGUGCAUAUUUUAAUAUGUGAAUUAUAUAAUUAUGGUUAUUUUCAGAAGCAUUGGCUCCACAUAAAUGUUUGGGACCCACAUUAUCGGUAAUUUACGGUGUCCUCUUCAGUGAGCAUAUUCAAAAGGCUAUGAUCUGGUUGGCGAUUUGGAGUGCAGAGAGGGUUGAGAAUGAAUGAGUUUGAACCCUUUGCAAGCCUACAAAGUAUUCUAAUAUCUGUUACGAAAUAAGGAAAAUGAAAGAAGAAAAAUAUGAAUGAGAGUACCCCCAUUUAGGUGGCAAUUUGAGAUACUACUUUACCCACCAAAUAUGGCAUCGUCCAUGUUUUCGAAGCAUGGAUAAGAAAUUCAUUGGGGCAAAGACACAAACACGUGAGAGUCACAAGUGAUUCAUUAUUUGUUCAGGCAUCAGUGUCUUAGGAGUCACAUUUACUCCACCUGUUUGUUAUUUUGCUCUUCACAACCACAACAAAAAUAUACAUUACAAUGACCAAAAUCAACUUAAAAUCUAUAAUGAUGUUAUUCUGGUCUUUGAAAACAGUAUACAUUAUUACAGAGUUUUUGAAUCUAAACAAAAAAUUAUAUUUAGUUUUGCCUUUCAUUAAGAAAUAAACAUGACAUAUACUUAUACUUAUUAUAUACUCAUAUCACUAAAAAAAAAUCAUAAAAUAGAAACUAAUUUUAGACACAAAAAAUAAUUAGUUAUUACAGUGACUAAAUUAGAGACUAUUUUAGGGAUUAAAUAAUUUUUUGGUUUCUAAAUUAGUUUCUAUUAUUGUUAAAUGAUUUUUAAAUUGGUAUCUAAUUAACAACCAAGGUUUUUCUACCAAAUUUAGAAUCUAAAUAAUUUAAAACUUUGGUUGCUAAUUAGAUAUCAAUUUAGAAACUAUUUAACAAUAAUAGAAACUAAUUUAUAAACCAUUUUUUUUAGUUUCUAAAAUGGUCUCUAAUUUAGUUACUAUUGUAACUAAUUAUUUUUGUCUCUAAAUAUUGAUUUUUUUUUGAUAAUUUUCUUGUAGUGUAUCAUAUAUCAUCUUGUUUACAUUACAUUUGAAAUGUUCUAGUAGUGAUAUCUUGAAUUUAGUUAAUAAUUAGUUAUAUAUGUAUAAUUAUUCAUAAAUUAAUAUUUAUAUUUAUAUAAUUAAAUGCAUAUCAUGUAAACAAAAUAUUUAUCUAUGCAAGAUAGGAUUUAUUAUAAUAUUUUUUAAUUUUAACUUUAGUGAAACAAAGUAUAGUCAUUUCAGAAAUCAAAUAAUAAUAAUUUUAAAAUUAAAUUUAAACUCAAUAUUAAACUUUGAGACUGUAAAUUUUAAAUUUGAUAUAAAAAUAAACUAGACGAAAAGAAAUUGUGCGAAAAGAAUGUAAAUGUAAAAAAAUAAGAAAAAGAGUAAAUGGAGAAGAUAAUAAUACAUUUACUAUUAAUUUAUGCACUCAUUUGAAAGUUGAAAAUAUUUGUAGAAAGCAAAAUAGUAAUAAUUAAUCAAACUUAAUGAUUAAAUUUAAAAAUAAAAUAUUAAAAAGUAAAAGAAAAACAGUUUGUUUUUUUUUUUACUUUAGACUGUCACAUAUAUUACUCAGAUAUGUAACUAACUUCAAUUAUUCAAUUAUUGUGUAGACGGAGGAAGUGUCACGUAGGUAUAAACAUUUUAAUGAACCUCUUUUAUCAAAAUAAUAAAAUUAGGUAAUUCUUUUAUAUUCAGAAUUUUUUAAACAAUUAUUAUGCUUUAAAGUACUAACGUGAUAACGUCAAACAUUUUUAAAUACUAAUAUUUUGAGUACAAUAAAUAUAAAAUAUAAUGGUAUGAGUAUAUUAAAAAUACAAAUUAAUAAAUAUUAAUAGUAGUUGGUGUUUUAUAUAAAAAGUGUUCAUUUAGUAUUAAAAAAAUAUUUUUUAAAAUUUACAGGAAUAAAAUAAAAUAAUGUAUCUCAUUAUUAUAAAUUUAAUUAUGAUUGUUAGGUUUAGAUCCUACAUCAAAUUUUGACUUUGGACAAAUAUUACCUUAGUAGUUGGUUUUAUAUCCUUAAAUGAAUUUAAGAUAGUUUUUAUAGUUUUUUGGUGGAUUAAUUAUUGGAUUACAUGUCAUCCACAUUCUUCCACACUCCAAGGGUCACUUGUAUAUUAUUUUAUAUUGAGAGUUUGGUGGAACUUUAAAUUAUUCAACUACAUCUAUCUUUAAGUGAAUAAUACUAACUACUAAAACAUUAUAAUUAAUUAAUUAAGUCAACUUGCUAACUUCCUAGUAAGAAUGAGAGUGGAGAGGAAUAAAUGGCAGGUUAAAAUCUUUUGCUAACAAUAUAAUUAACUAUUAACCAUCAAUGUUUUUCUAUCUAAAAAACUAAUUAAUGAAAUUAAAGUGGAAAUAGUUUAUUAAAAAAGCUUUAAAUAUUUCAAUUAUAGGCCCUUUUUAUUACCAUACACAUUCUUAAUACCAAUUCUAAUACAACUUUCAAUUGCUUAUAUAAAAUUAUCAUGGUAAUUACAAGAAAACUGUGUUUUAAAUUUAAAAUGAAUGUGGUGGUUAAUUUGUUAAAAUGAAUGUAGUAUAAGUAAAAAUUUAUAAAAUAGAAGUGUAAAACAGAAAAGGAAGAAGUCAACAUGACUUGUUUUUAAUAAGUAAACAUAACCUAUAUAAAAUUAAUUAAUGUGGACCAUGUCAAAAAGUUACAACAAGUUAUACCAUAUAAAAGAAACAUAUUUAGUAUAAAAUUAAUGUAAUUAUAUAUAUAUAUAUAUAUGUCUUUUUCUUUUAUUUUGAGAGUUAGGUUUUUGUGCAAUACAUGGUAACAUUGUAACAAAUAUCAAUAACAUAUAUAUUAAACUCCAUUAUCUCUUAUAAUAUAUCUAAUUCAUUAUUAUAUAAUCAAAUAGCCUUUAUUAAUAUACAAAACACGAACACAAUAAGAUAAAAAUAAAAUAGUUCUAGAGUGAACUAAUAAUGCAAUAAAGUUUAGUAUUAAAUUAUAUAUAAUCACUAAAUCAAAUUAAAAAAAAGAGUAGAUUUUCAAGCUUAUUUGAUUGUAUUUUUGUUGAUGUGAUGCGAAAUUCAUGUGUAACACUAUAUAUUUAUGAGUGAUCCGAUAGAAAUUCAUAAUUUUGAUAAAGCUAACAAAUCCUCACUAGUAUAAAUUUUAAAUAAUUAUACUAUAUUAAAAAAUAAACUUUAAGUAUAACUCAAUCUUAUAAAACAAGUUCACAAUGUAAGAUUUGCACUUAUUUAUAUACUAUAAAAUAUUUUUAUCUUUUAAUCGAUGUGACAUUUUUAACACAAAUCUAAUCUAAAAAUUAUUUAUCUUACAAGAUAUACAUAAUUAUUAUUUAUAUUAAGUUUAAACUUAUAAGACUAAUGUAUGUUAUGUCCUGAUAUUAGUUAUGUGCUGAUAUUAAUUUCUCGGAUAUAAUAUACACAUUUAUCAGAUGAAUUGAUAUUUUUACACAGCUCAGUAGCAUAGUGACACGAUAAAAUCUAAUAUUGUUAAUUAAAUCAAUUAAAUUCAAUACUGAUAAAACAAUGAAUAUUGACUAAUUGAAAGUGAGUUUAAUUUCAAUAAAAAUGGUUUUUAUGACCAUACUUUGCAUUAAAAAUAUAAACUAAGAAAAAAACUUAUGAGAAAUGCAAAAUUUGUAGUUUGUUGCAAUAAAUCUAAAUUGAGCAUAAAGUGUGUUUUGAAGGGUGUAUUGAUAAUAAUUUUUUUAUCCAACAAAAUUUCAACCAGUACGAGAGUGUGUGAAGAAUGUUUUUUUUUAAUAUUUUUCAUCUUAAAUAUGAUUUGUUUAAUUUGUAAUUAAAAAUUGUACAUGACAAACUUUAAAACUGCAUUUCUCUAAAAUAACACAUAAAAUUGAUAAUACGAAAACAUAUAAUUACAAUUUUUACAUGAGAUAAAUUUAUUAAUUUGGCAAUGAUUACUUGAGUGAUGAUAUGAAGAGGUAUUUAUAAUUGAUUUAGAACAGAAAAAGUUUGGUAUGUAGAGGUGCAGUAAAGUGUUGUUUUGUUGUGUUGAGAUGAAGGACAGAUUUUGAUCCAUGCUUAGGUUAAGGAUACAAAUGGAAUCGCUUUAACAAACUGUGUUGAUAACAAAAGAAAGAAAAAGACGAUACUUAACGAGGAAUGUUUGGCAGUUGAAGAGUGAUUUGGCGCGCUACACAUCAAAGCGAUCCCAAAAGUUAAUUACAAGAGGAAACAGUGAGUGUAGAAAAGAAUUAACGAAUUUCUUUUGGGGCAGUUAUAGUAUGAAAAGUCCGGUUGGAUAAAGCCACAUACUGCACAUUUUGACUCCUCCACUUUUAACUCUCAUACAUACACCUAAACCAUAGGUCAUUCUCUAAUAAGAUUGAAAUGAGAAUUGAUGGAAAAAAUAGAACCAACACACCUAAUUAUGAAUCAAUUAUAGAAAAUAAAUAACAUAAAAUUUAAUAUGGUUCGAUCGUUAAUCUGUCAUCUACAUAUUUAUAAACAAUUAUUAAGUUCUAUUACAAACUAAUUAUAAGUAUAAUAAAUUUUUUAAAUAAAAAUUAUAAAAAAUCUAUGCGAAAGUAACAUCUAAUCACGAAUCAAUUGUAAAAAAUAAACAAUACAAGAUUUAAUAUGAUUUGAUCGCUAAUCCACCAUCUACAUGUCUACGGAUAAUUAUUAAAUUUUUAUUUAUAAUUCAGUCACUAAAUAUUAUAUUGUGUCUAGUCAGUUCAACCCAAUUGAUUUUUUCUUAUACCCCGUAAGAAUAAUAUUGGAAAGAAAGAAAACUGAAUGAGGUUGAAGGUAGAUGAAAUGGGGAAGAUUGGUUUAGAUGAAACCGUAAAAGGGGAAGUUGUUAAGUGGAGCAUGAGUGGGGUCUUGACUGGUAACAGAUGUCGGGAAGAAUCCUAGAGAAUCAUGGAUGCCAACUUUGUUUAAACCGUGUGGGCUCCAUUAACCAACAUCAUUUUUCUAAGCAAAAAAAAAAGUAAAAAAAUAAAAUAAAAUUGAAAAAAUGGGUCACUUAGACAAAACCCUUUUUUAUUAAAGUCUUUAGGUGGGUCGUCAAUUCCAUCUCCAAUCAUAUCAUGUUUUAUAGAUCUUUGGAAUCCCAAGCGGUGGUUAGUUAACACGCACGUUCCUCCCCCAUUUAACUAUACUUACUGUUCAAUUCAUUUUUAAUUUUAACUAGUUAACAAAAAACUAUAAAUCAUACCAACUCAUUCAAUCAUAUGUAUACAUGAAAAUGUAUCUUUCGUAUGAAGAAAAACUUGAUGUGGCUAAAUGGAAUGAUUUUUAUAUUUUUAUAUUUUAAAAACAAACACUUAUACUAAUAUUUUUUAAAGGGUUAGGAUCAUCUAGUAAAAAUAUCAUCAUUGAGAAUUUAGUCUCGUGGAAGAGAGUUUUAGUUCACUAAAUAAAGCCACAUAAUUUUUUGAAAUGCAAAAAAAAAUAAAAUUGUACGUGUCAGGGUAAGAAAAAUACAACUGUUAAUAGUGGAUUAUUUGAUAAUCUAUAUUUGUGAAUUAUUGAUACAAAUAUAAAGAUAAGAUUUUAAUUUAUAAGAGUGGAUAAUUAAACUGAAUAGCCUCAAACCUUACAUUAUAAUUGUAAGUUUAUAACAAGUACUAGUUGAAGUACUACAGUGUAUUCCCUGUCUAUAUAUAAAAAAUAAAAUAUAACUAAUUUUAAAAAUAUAACUUAAGGAGUUGCAUUGUUAUUUUCGAACUAAGAGAUUAUGUAAUUACUUUUAAUUAAAAAAAAAUUGUGUAGUUACAGAUAAUAAUAAAAAUCCGUGGGUGGACGCGGUUUUGUGUCUGAAGAGAAAAACGACGGCACAAUUGUCGUAUUGUUGAUACCGGAUCUUGGCCUGGCAUGUGAGGAAUUUGAAUUGGUACUAGUAUUUUAACCCGUCUAUUUAUUAUUAUAUAGUUUUAGAAUAACAAUAAAUAAUAUAAGUAAUAAUAAUUAUAAUAAAGAUUUUAUAUAAAUUAACUGCCACGUGUCCCAUCUCAUGGUUUUUAUACUAUGAACAAAGAACCGUCCUAAAAUUCAAAAGGGAUGUUUUUUUUUGCUCGAUAUAUCUUUUUUAGUAUUUUUUUUAAUUUCAAACAUCGAUUAGAAAUAAAAAAAAAUUAUAAUAUAUAAUAAUUCACUUCUUAAUAUUUUUUUUAGGAAAGAGAGAAAUCUGAAAAACAUAAAAGAAAGAUGCAUGAAAAUGUGAUUAUUAUGGACAGAGUUUGCAUGAUAACCAGAGGGGUUAAGGGGUAACCAAAAGAAUCUGUGUGAAGAUUAGAGUAAUUAGAAUUGACAUCAUUGUCUAAACAAAAACGAAAAGGUAAGGUUUUGGCACUGUCAUUUGGAAUCAAAAUGGAAUAAAGUACCUAAGAUUAGGUCCCACACGUUUGUCUACAAGGCAUGUUAGUUAUCCUAAGAACAUGAAUGAACAUAAAUGGUGCUAUGUUACUCACUGCACCAAAAAUUAUGGUCUUGACUAUGAGUUCCAUUUCACAUGCUUCCACAACUUGUUUUUCUCACUAAUCACUUGUCAAGAUAAAGUUCACAUGCCUUUAAGACCAUCAUUAAAAAUUCUUCUGUCUGUUUCUUUAAUUUAAUGUUCCAACAACUCAAAAAAAUUAAAAAUUAAAGAACUUUUCAAAGGCUCUCUAAUUUUAUUUUCUGUUAUAAGACCAAAAUUUGACGGGCUUAACUCGUGAGAUGUGUUCAUAUGUUGGGGCUUCUAAGUCCAGGGAUACUCAUUUAGCAAAAAAAAUUAAACAGUUUUGUAUGUAUAAAUGAAAGGCCCACAUAUCAAUUCUUUACCGGUCCAAUUGAUUCGUACUAACCUAAUCAAGCUCCACACCAAUAUUUAAAUAGUUUAAAAUACGCUAAAAAAAAUCAUAAAAUAUAAUAAUUUUUAGAGAUAAAAAAUAAUUAAUUGCUAUAGUGACUAAAUUAGAGACUAUUUUAAAGAUUAAAUUUUUUUUAGUUUUUAAACAGUUUCUAUUAUUGUUAAAUAGUUUUUACAUUGGUAUUUAAUUAACAACCAAGGUUUUUGCUACCAAAUUUAUAAACUAAAUAAUUGGUAGUUAAAACCUUGGUAGCUAAUUAGAUACCAAUUUAGAAACCAUUUAACAAUAAUAUAAACUAAUUUAAAAACCAUUUUUUUUAGUUUCUAAAAUGGUCUUUAAUUUAGUUACUAUACUUUGGUUUCUAAAAUUGGUUUAUAUUUCAUGUUUUUCUUGUACUGAUAGUUUAGUAAAGGUACUCACAAAAUAUUAGACGAUAAUAGAGAAUAUACGAAAAUAGAGAAAGUAACAAAAAUAGAGAAGAGUAAACGAAGAAUCACAUAAAACAAUUUAAUUUAUAUGAUUUAGGUGAAACUAAAUUAAUUUAAGUAUACGAUAAAUAAUUGUUCAUUAUAAAAUUAUAUUUAUACACAUAAAAUUGUUUAUCUAACUUCUAAUAAAAGAUGUGUCAAAUAAUUGACAAAUCACGUAAAAAUAUUCGUGUAAGAGCGAGAAAUGUAGUAGAGGAUUUACUCAAAAGUUUUGAUUUAAAUAAACAAUUUAAAACUAUUUGAUGAUCUAAUUUUUUUAUACGGUCUAAUAUCUCUACACGAUUUAAUAACCUUUGAAGAUAUAUUUCACUGAAUCAAAUCUUCACAUAAUAAAAUUUAAAACACUUUGUAGUAAAAUUGUAAAAAAAAUCCAUUCCAUUUUAACAAAAUUAAUGUAAAAUGAGUCAUGCUAAUUAAAUGGGUUAGACCAUGAUAAAUAAAAAAAUUUGGAUGAAGAGUUGAAAAAAAAGAGGUAGCAAUUGUUUGUUUUAGUCAAUUGAUUGGAUUUGUGUGACCCAUUUUGAAUGAAACAAGUGAAUACGUUGAUGAGUUUGACAUGGAGAGAGAACUAACCUUUUGUCUUCAACCUUCUCUUUUCUUGCAGUGUUUGUGAAAGCAGUAAAAGAGAAUAAAUGGCUACAAUACGUACAAGAGCCAUGGUCCUACCCUUUACUUUCGCAUUCUCUUCAAUUCAUAUUUCAUAUUCUAUCAUUACCAAUAUUACAUAUAACAUAAUAAGUGCUAUGAAAAAAAAUGAGCAAAUUAUGUUUUAGAGACUAAAAAUAAAUAUUACUUUAUAUGAUAUUUGAUGAUAAUAAAAAAAUUGAUAAGAGCCUAGAGAGUAUUUUUUUUUUUCUUUCAUUAUUCUCUUCCAUCUAAUCAUCCAUCAAAAUUUUCAUUCAAUUUUAUAUGUGGAUAGUCAUAGGUCACACAACAUUUUAUCUUGCUUCUUCCUACAUCUCCAGCAAUGUCAACUUCUUAGAUAGAGUUUGGUUUUAAUUGAGUUUUUUUUUCCUCAAAAAGUUGACUUUUGUUUGUAAAUGGUACUUGUAUGAAUAGACAACUUAAAUAUUUAAUGUAAAAUCAUUAAUGUUUGUUCACUCAAAUUUAUUAACUUUUAAAGAUAAAGGAUUCGUUAUAUGGGGGCGGGAAGUUGUUAUUAAAGAUUGAGGGAUUUUUGGACCUACUUUUUUUAAGAUAUUAUUUUAUUUUUUGAGUUGAAUAUAAAAAGGAUUGAAAAUAAUUAAGGAUAUACAAAUUCAAAUUAACAAAUUGAAUAGAUAAUUAUUCAAAUUCGUAUUAUUUUAAUCUAUUUAAGAGUAUUUAUCUUAAUUCAAAUCUAUAAUUUUAAUUUUAAGUCUAAGUCUAGGUGAUUUAAUUGGAUGGAUUUGAUAUAAAUUGAAUAUAUUUUUGAAUUAUUCAAAUUGAAUUUUGGGUUGGAUUUUAUCUAGGUCCAAUCCCAGGUCAAACCAAGUCAAUCCGGGUUCAUGUUGAGCUAAGUCGGCUCGAACCAUGUCAAAUCGAGUCGUCCCAAGCCCAACUCGGUAUAGGAUGAUGCCGAGCAAGGUUAGCCUAAGUCGAUGUCGACUCGAGCAGAUGUCGAGUCGAAUCGGCCUGAGCCGAUGUCCAGCUGAGUCGGUCCAGGCCCAGGUCGAGUCGAAUCCACCUAGGAUAAGACCAGGUCGAUUUCGAGCCGAGUCGACCCAAACCGAUGUUAAGUUGGGUUGAGCUGAGUCGACCCAGACUGAUUUCGAGCCAAAUCGGCCCGAAACAAUGUCGAGCCUAGUUGGCCAGGGUCGAUAUCGAGCUGAGUCAACCCGAGUUGAUCGGAUCCAUGUCAAGGCAAAUCGGCCUGGGCCGAUGUUGAGUCGAAUCAGCAACGGGCUGCUAUCGAGCCGAGUCAGUCCAAGCCCAUAUCGAGCGGAAUUGACCAGGGAUGAUGUCGAGUCGCGUCAGCCCGAGCCAAUAUCAAGUUGAAUCAGCCUAACCAGAUGUCAAGACGUGUCACCCCGUGCCGAUGUCGAGCCGAGUUGGCCUAGGACGAUGCCAAUCCCAAACGGACUAGGCCGGUAUCAAGCCAAGUCGACCCCGGUUGACCCAGACCCAUGUCGAUCUGAGUCGGCUCGCGCCGAUAUAGAGCAGAGUCGCUCCAGGUCCAUGUCGAGCCCAAUUGACCCUAAAUGAGGCUAAGCCGCGUCAGUCCGGGUUAAUGUCGAGCCACGUCGAUCUAGUCUGAUGUCGAGUCGAGUCGUCACGGGUCAAACUAGGCCCAUGUCAAGCCGACUCGACCUAGGUCGAUUUUGGACAAUAUCGAGAGAACUCAAUUUGGACCAAUGUCAGGCAACACCAACCAAGGUCGAAGGUGAGCAGCGUCGACCCGGGCCGGUGUCGAGCAGAGUCGGCCUGAGACGAUGUCGAGCGUAGUUGGUUAGGGUCGAUGUCGAGCAAUGUUGGUCGGGGUCAAUGUCGAGCAAAGUUGGUUGGAAGCGAUGUCGAGCCGAGGAGGCCCGGGCUGAUGUCAAACGGAGUCGGCCCGGACCGAUGGCAAGACGAGGCGACGCAGACUGAUGUCUAGCCUAGACGACCCAGGACAAUGUCAAGUAGAGUCAGCUUGGGCUAAUGACAAGCAGAGUCAACCUAGGUCGAUGUUGAGCAGACUCGAGCCGGACUGAUGUCGAGCAACGUCGACUUGGGCUGAUGUCGAGCGGUGUUGGCACGAGCCGAUUUCGAGCAUAGUCAACCAUGACCAAUGUCGAUCAUAGACGGCCCAGACCGAUGUCGAGCGGAGUCGGCCGGGACUGAUAUCUAGCAGAGUCGGCCCGGACCGAUGUCAAGCAAAGUCAACCCGGAUCAAUGUUUAGUAGAGUCAUCUCGGACCGAUGUCGAGCGGAGUCGGCUCGGACCGAUGUCGAGCCGAGGCGACCUGGGUCGAUUUUGAGUGGAAUCGGCCCGGACCGAUGUCGAGUAAAGUCAGUCCAGAUCAAUGUCGAGCCGAGGUUGUCCAGAUGUAUGUCAAGUAUAGGCAGAUCAGACAGAGGUUAAGCUUAGGCGACUCAGACUGAGGUCGAGUUGAGUCAACCCGGGCUGAUGUCAGGCUAAGUCGGCCCGGGCCGAUGUCUAGUCAAGUCAGCCCGUGCUGAGGUUGAGCCGAUGUCAACAUGAGUUAGCUCGGGUUGAUGUCAAGUCUAGUCAGUCUAUAUCCAUAUUGAGUUGAGUCGAUCUGAACCAAGGUUGAUUCGACAUCGAACCCAUGUAGAGCCAAGUCGACCUAGACCUAGGUCUAGCCGAGUCAGUCCGGACCCAAGUUGAGUUAGCCCAAGCCGAUGUCUAGCCGAGUUGGCUUGUUUCCAGGUUGAGUCGAGUGAGCCGAGUGUUUCCAUAACAAUACUAUUGAAAUGGUUGCAUUCCAUUUUUCAUGAAUUGUCUUAAAAUAUCGUGUAAUUUUGUGAGCAAGUUUGAUCAACAAAAGCAAAUUUGAGUUCAAUAAUGUAUAAUCAAGAACUUGAAAAUUUUAAGUAUCAAUCACGAAAGCAUUUUGAAAAGCCAAGUUCAAUAAUAAAAUUGAGUUCCAGAUUUAAACAUUGAAAAGCUCAACUCGAAUUUUUUUUCUGUUUUUUUAACUAACUUAUAUCUUUGGGUCUCUUUUUUAUUCAUAUAAUGGUGUCCAGGAAAUUUCUUCUUACACGCAUAUUUCCCUUCUACACCCCAUAAAUGAAAUCUCUAUUUUACCCUUUUGCUUUAAAGUUUUUUGUUUUAGAUUUUGCCAUUUGAAAACUUUUUCAUUGUCCAAUUUAUAAGUCAAAAUCGUCUUUUAAAUUACAUAAUAUGUAAGUAUUUUUUUAUAAAUUUUUUUCUAAAUUAUUUAAUUCAAAAGGUAUUUUUAACUUCUAUUUUACAUAACUUAAAAGUAUUUUUUUACAUUAUGUGAUAUAUUGAACACUUCUCAGUAAAGAAAACAUGAAAGAUAAAAAAUGUGGGAUCAUAAUAAGUUGGAAGGACAGUGGUGGAAGAACCAAUGACGACAAUGUAAAAGAAGAUGACAAAGAAUAAGGACAUUUUAAUCUUUCACACAUCCAAUGAAAGUGCAGGAAGAAAUGACUGUGGUACAAAAAGAAAUCCCAUAGAGUCCAGUGCUUCUGUUGCGCUGACUUUUAAAUCACAACCCAGUAUAUAAUAGCUUUUUUUUUUGGCUCUUCACACCCUCUAAUAUUUCAUUUUUCUUUACAUUCCCAAAAGCCCCUUUUACCACUCACUUUAACAUUGAAGAAACUUAUUUCUUUAUUAUAGUUAUGUUGUAUUACAUUUAUAGAAACUAAUUUCUAUAUUGUAAAACAAUUUCAUUACAAAACAUGUCUUUCAGAAUAUAACCUAGAAACUAGUUUACUUAAAAAGUAUUUUCGUAAAAAAUAUUGAAAACCCAAACAGUGUAAUAAAAUUGAUGGCAGAUUCUCUCUACAGCAGAUCAUUUUGGACUGCACCCAAUAUACAUAAAGAAAAAGACCAAAAUACCUUUAAUGAAAUGAAAAUUAAGGUUUAGUAAAAUGUGCACCCAACUCACAUCCAACCCACACCCAACCCAGCAGCAUUGCACCUUUUUUUUUUCUGUGAUCACUGUGAGGAGACAGCGCGCAGUGGCAACAAUCCUUCUUUAGUGGCUUCGUCUCCUUCUCCGUGCGCUGCCUCACAGUCUUCUCUGCGCGCUGCUUUCUCACCAUGAUCACAGAAAAAAGGAUAUAAUGUUGCUGGGUUGGGUGUAGGUUGGAUGUGAGUUGGGUGCACAUUUUACCUAAACCCUAAUUUUCAUUUCAUUAAGGAUAUUUUAGUCUUUUUAUUUGCAUAUAUUGGUACAGUCCAAAAUGAUCUGGUGUAGGAAGAAUCUGCCAAAAUUGAUUCUUCUAGUAAGAUUAUCCCACAUUUAACGGGAAAAUUACUAUUUGCACCUGCGUCAUGAUGGUGAACUAUGGAAAUGGACAUCACAUCAGCAUCUGUGAAAAUACCUAUUUUGAGCAAUACUUCUUAUAAUGUGGGCCACAAGAGGUGAGAUAUUGGGCUGUUUCUUCCUGCAACUCCAUAGCUUAUUCCGACACCCUAAAGAUGAGGUGAAAGAUCAUUUUAUUUUUUUAAAAAUCUAUUUUGGAUUUUACAAUAAAAAAUGUAUAUUUUCUAUUUAUACCUACCAAAUUGUGGAAUCUGGAGUAUUUUUUUUUAUUUAAAAAAUAUAUGAAAGGUAUUCUCAGAUUCAAAAAUACAUUUUUGAUUUUGUUAUCCAAAAUACUUUUCAGAAUCAAUAAUUUAAAAUGUAUUUUGUUUAAAGAAGCUCGUUCUAGAUUACAGAAUCCAAUAUAUUUUUAAUUUUAUAAUUUAAAUUUUUUCGAAUUAUCUAUUUAAAAAUGAAAAAUAACAGUAGAAUAAAUAGUAUUUUUAAUAUUUUAAGGAGUUUGCAAUUGCAGUCAACAUGAACUAUACAUUGGGGUACGUCUAGUUUUGUUAUGUGUAAAAUACAAAUAUAUGAAUUUAAUUUCAAAUUUAAAUUAUUUUUAAUUCUUUCCGUGGGUUCAAAUCUUAUAAAACUAAAUCAAUUUUGGAAUAGGUUUAUAUGGACAAAAUAUAUUUAGUUCAAAAUGGAUUUUAAGAUCAGAUUAUAUCUCUAAACCGGUUUUUAAACUUGGAAUUUGUUCGUAUAAUGUUCAAAAUUGAGUCAGAACUCUUUUUAAAAAUGAAUCUUAAGAAAAUGAUUUUUUUUUGUUAUAAUUAAAACUAAUUAAAAAAACUGGCUUUAGCGGAAACUAUUUUAAAAACUAGACAUGUAAGUUUUUUUAAAGAAAGAAACCUGUUGAUAUUAUUUAAUUCUUUUAGCCCAAUGUAUAUUAUAAUGUUAGAAAGGGUGUACAAAAUCAUUAUUAAACAUGGUAAAAAGUUUUGUAUUUGCGGAUAUAUGUGAAUAAAACUUAUAAUGGAUAUUAAAUGUAUAUCUUUUGCGAAUAUUAAUGUGUAAUGAAUACAUAUAUUUUUAGUUAUCUAUUUAUUGGUAAACAAGUAUAUUCAACUGACAGAUACUUAUUAUCUACUAACCAUUAUUAAUCAAUUUUAUUUAGAUAUAUUUUAAAAAAAUAGAAUGAUCAAAAUAAAAUUAUUGAGAAGAGAAAUAUCAUCAUUAAACUUUUUAGGAAUCUAAUUAUAUAAAUUUGUUUUAGGAGAUUAAUUUUUGAAAAUAAUUGAACUCAUUAUACUUUGUUUUUUUCUUUUAAAUGUUAUCUAGGUGCAGCACUCCCUAUGAAUUCAUGUUUCUUUCCAAUCUUUGUGUUUGCCUCCAUAUCUGGUGACACCACUGUUCUAAGUUCAAUGCAUAAACAAAUUCUGCAACUUUUUCCAGCUCAAACUCCUCUUUCAACGCUCCUUGUCAUUUUUUAAUUAGCUCUAUUCUUUUAAUAAUAUAUUAUUAAUGUGUGUACUGAAUCUCCAACAUUUUUAUCAAUAAUUUCUUAAACAGACAAAGUUUCUACGGUUUCCAACCAUUUCACUUCGCCACGUUACUGUGGUAGCAUCUCGUGAGAGGUUCAUAUGAUGUUGGGCUUAUUAAAACCAUGAUGCAAUUCUUAGGUUAUAGUUAUAUAAUAAUGAAGAUACGAUGAAUAAAAUAUGAGUAAUAACAUGGCAGCAAAGGAAAAACCGAAACCACAUUGGACCAAUCAUUUACGACGACAAAUACUGAGAGGACCAAAAGCAGCACAGUGACCGAUGCCCCCGCCGAGCUACAUGCUCAUCCAUCAUCGCCAUGUGAUCUCUGAAUCAAACCCAUCUCAGUUAAAUUCACCUUCACUUUUUAGGGAAGAAGAAUUGGAUUUCGGAAUUCCAAAGCUGCAACCAUUUUAGUUUCAAAGGAUUCGUUAAGAUUAAUAAAUAUAUCCCCACUUGUUCAUAUUUUGGUGCUAAAACCUUUCUUCAUUUCUUCAGUUCCACUUCUUCAAAGCUAGGUUGCUGCUAUCUUUCUGUAAAUGUUUUAAUUUUAAAAGAAAUGUCAGAGCAAAAGAAGCCCCCCAAAAGCAGGGUUAUCUAUGUUGGGAUGAAGCUUCUGCACAAACCAGGGAACAAGCCUCUACAAGAGAAAAACAGUUUCUUUCAUGCAUAUUACAAAUGGGUUCUUUGGCUCUCUCUCUCCCUCUAUUUCUUCACUUCCUAUCUCAUCACCAGCAACCCCAACAACGCACCAACCUCUCCCGACACAUCCUCCCACGUUGUCCCUCGUGCCUUUGUCGACACCACAACCAACUCUCUAGGUGGCGUAACAUAACACAUUGUUCAGCAUUUUCAGCUCAAUAAUUGUUUGCUUUUGAAACUUAUUUCUCUACUACAUUCGUUGUAGGGGUGCUGAAGAAUCUGAAGUUGUUCGUGUACGAGCUUCCUCCAAAGUACAACACCGAUUGGCUCGCGAACAAGAGGUGUGCCAAUCAUUUAUUCGCGUCGGAAGUUGCCAUCCACAGGGCACUGUUGAAGAGCGAGGUUCGCACGUUUGACCCUUACGAAGCUGAUUUUUUCUUCGUCCCCGUUUACGUUUCCUGCAACUUCAGCGCCGUGAACGGCUUCCCCGCGAUUGGGCACGCGCGCGCUCUUAUUUCCUCCGCCGUCAAUCUCGUGUCCACGGCAUACCCUUUCUGGAACCGCAGCAACGGACGUGACCACGUCUUCGUCGCUUCCCACGACUUCGGUUCGUGUUUCCACAGCCUGGUAAAAAGUCAAUGUCCCACAUCGAUUAAAUAUAAUGUCUGAUAAAAUUAGUCCCCUUUCUGUUUGUCUGAUUGACUUUUGUGCUUUGAAGGAGGAUGUGGCCAUGGCUAAUGGAAUACCCCAAAUUUUGAAGAACUCGAUUGUGUUGCAGACAUUCGGCGUUGUUCACAGACAUCCGUGCCAAGACGUGGAGAAUGUGGUAAUUCUGCCAUAUGUUUCGCCGGAAAGCGUACGGAGCACGCUGGACAAUUUUCCGGUUAACGGACCGAGAGAUAUUUGGGCUUUUUUCCGUGGGAAAAUGGAACUGCAUCCUAAGAAUAUCAGUGGACGGUUUUACAGCAAGUAAUUACCAGUGGCCCCACUCAGCAUUAAUUAAACUUAAAUGUAACGUAGUCAAAUCAUUAACUAAUGUUGCCUUUUGGUUGAAAAGAAUUGACCGUUUUUUCCCUCUUUUUUUCUUCUGUGAAGGCGAGUGAGGACGCAGAUUUGGCGGAAGUUCAACGGUGACCGGAGGUUUUACCUGCAACGGCACAGGUUCAGCGGUUACCAGUUGGAAAUUGCUCGGUCGGUGUUCUGUUUGUGCCCGUUAGGGUGGGCUCCGUGGAGUCCGAGGUUAGUGGAAUCCGUUGCGUUGGGUUGUGUGCCGGUUAUCAUCGCGGAUGGGAUUCGAUUACCGUUUUCCUCCACCGUGAGUUGGUCGGAGAUAUCGCUGACGGUGGCGGAGAGGGACGUGACGAAGUUAGGGAAGAUCCUUGAGCGCGUGGCGGCAACGAACCUGAGUGACAUACAGAGGAACUUGUGGGACCCGCGGACAAGGCGAGCCCUGCUUUUCAACAAUGUGAUGGAGCAUGGCGAUGCCACGUGGCAAGUUAUGGUUAGUUUGAGUGAGAAGCUUGGUAGGUCUUACCGAAGGUCUAUGGUUAAUAACGAAUUAGGGAGUGACACGUAAUAGUUGGGUAUUGGCGUGGAUUUUGGAUUGGAUAUGGUGGUCUUUCUCCCACGCUCAUGACAGCUGGCAUUUUUUUGUUAAAUAAUUUUUUGUGUAUAUAGAUUUUUAUUAUUAUAGAUUAUAGGAGUAGGUUAGGUUAAAUAAAUUAUUAUUAUUAUUUUUUACUGUUUCUGAUAUAUGAGUUGGCAUGGAAAUGAAAUGACGAAGUGAGGAAGAGUUUUUGGAAGUGGGAGAGCGACAUGGUUGAGUGGUUGAGAUGUGUGUCAGAACUUUUUAGUGUUUUUAUUGAAAAUUAUGGGAAGUUGUGAAGGUGUCAGUGGUCACGGAUAUGGAUGCUAUGCUCUUUCUAUGGCUAUGGCUGUCAAAAUCAAAUGCUGAAGGAGAGAGAAUCCAAUAUUAAUUAUGAAUUGCAUUAAUUAAGUCAUUAAAACACCCUUCAAAAAACUCUGUAAGCAAAUUCUGGACUUCAAUUUUACAACUUUGCAUAUAACGUUCGUACGGUUUCUACCUUUUCACCUCAGUGAUGUAUAUUGGCGUUGGAUUAUGGGUGGCAAAGCGGGCGGCUUCUAUGGGCCGGUCCGCGGCCCGUAAAAAAAAAUAAAGCGAAUUGUUUAUUUUAAUCUGCUGAUCCGUUUAAGUCUGUUCUGCAUAAUCAGCAAUUUGCGGGGAUUCAAUGUGGGAUGGGGACGAGUUGGUUUGCAUAACUCGUAUUAAUUUUAAAAUGUAUAAUAUUUUUUCACAUAUUUAUAUUCUUUUUAUAUAGUCUUAUAUUUUAUAUUUCGAAAUUUUUAAUAACAUCUUACUACACAUGUUUCAUGAAAAUAAUAUUAUGAAACCAUCUACCUAAUGUCUAUAAAUAAAAAAAUAUCAAAAUCUUUAUUUAAAAAAUUAUUUUUUUUAAUAAAUAAUUUUUAUGCGGACUGACCCGUAAGUCCAUGGACCAACUCUUAUACGGGAUAGGUUGAAAAAAUCAACUAACAAAUUCUAUGCGAAAUUGACCAAUACAAUCUACUUUUUACAGACUAAGUGUGGAACGGACCGGCUCGCAUUUUCAGCCCUUAGACUGGAUGAGAUAAGCCACUAAUGUUGUGUUGUGUUGCCAUAAGCUGCACGGAUCAUUGAAAUGGUUGUAAACGUCACAAUUGAUAGCGACAGAUAGUAUAGGUUGAAAACCGAAAAAUUAAAAAUGAAUUCUAAAUUUUUAUAUCAAUUUUUUGUAUUUACUUUUAUUAAUUCAGCAAUUUUAUUUGAAUUUUAAAUUAAAAAAAAUUCGAACAAAAUGGUUUAUUAUAAUUAAAUAUAAUAUUAUGUUUAAAAUUCAUUAGCAACUAACAAAGACUAAUAAAUAUAACUUUUAAAUACUCAUUCACUUUAUUUUAUUGUAAUUAUUCUAAUCAAAAGUACAUUUGUGGUUGUAUUAGGACACUAUCCAAAUUUUUGUGUUUUAUUAUAGUAAAAUGUGUGUCUUAUAACUCCUGGUUACUUAUUUUGAUAUCUCUAGAUUUUAAUUAAUAUUAUUUAAAUUUUAUAUUUUUUUUAAACUGAUUUUUUUAAGUAUAAUAGGAUGAUUUUUUUUAUCUGAAUUUCUUAAUAGUUUUAUUAAAUGUUCUUCUUAAUUAUUAGUAGACUUAUAAUUGAUUUGUUAGGUAAGUUAUACUUUUUUUUAAAAAAAAUAGGAGAUUAGACUAAUUAAUACUAUACAACCCUCACGGCUCAAAUUUUUUUAAGGUAAAUAGUCUAAUUAUACGUUGAAAUAACAUCAAAUUACAACUUACUAUUUUAAACGAUAAAUAGGAGACAAGUUUAUUUUUAAAUGAUCUGCACAUUGAAAACAUUGAUAAAUUCUAUUGGGACCUAUAAACCUUGUUUUGCAUAAACUAGAUUCAUAAGUCAUAUUGUGACUUAUAAGUUACCGUAUGCAUAAACUCGAUUUAUAAGUCAUAUUAAGACCUAUAAGUCACCUUAUGCAUAAACCAUAUUAUGGCUUAUAUAAGGUACCUUGUGCAUAAAACUGAGUGAUAAAUUAUAUUGGGUCAUAUAAGGCACCUCAUGCGUAAAUGCAACCAAUUAUCCAUAUUGAGUCUUAUAAGCCACCUCAUGCAUAAAAAAGUCUAUAAGUUAUCUCGUGUAUAAACUCGACUUAUAAGUCAUAUUGAGGCCUAUAAGCCUCUUUUUACUCGUCGUUGUGUUGUCUUAAUUUGUAUUCUUAAUUCAUUAAGUAUAUGCAUUAUUUGAUGCAAGGCUGCAAAAUAUAAUUCUUUUAGGUCCCGUUUGGUUCAGAGACGAAAGAUUUACUGUUUGUGAAGAAUGCACAAAUAUCAAUGCACAUACAGACAAAAUCACAUGGAAAAUCGAAAAAAAAAAUUUGAUCAAAACUUUUUUCGCUGAAUUGCGAAGAAAGUUGGAAUUUACUAAAUAAUAUAUAUAUAUAUUUAUUUAAUUAAUUAAUUACAUUUUACUUUCUUAACCUUUUCAUUUUACACUUAAAUUAUUCUUAUUUUUAAUUAAAAUAAAAUUAUAAUUUAAAUAUAAAAUAUAAUCAAAAUUAUAAAAAAUUAUAAUUAUAAAAUAACAUAAUUAAUCAUGUUAUAUAUAAUAAAUUAUAAAUAUAAAUAAUAAUAAAAAAAAUUAUUUUUUAAUAAUAUAGAAAUAAAUUUAUAUAAUAAUUAUAUUAAUUACAAAAAAGUAAAGAUAAAAAUAAAAAUAUUAUUUAAUCUAAAAAUAAGUUUUUAUCAAAUAUUUAUAAUUAUAAAUAUUUAUAUAAUAUUUUAGUGAAAAUAAUUAUAAUUUAUAAAUAAAUAAAUCAAAUUAAUUUUUUAACAAUUUUUAGAUAUAAGGGUAAAUUUGUAAACUACAUUAUUAUCAAUUAAAAAAAAUAUAAUUUCAAUCAUACCUAUCACAUCACUCACAAACUUUCAUAAAUUUUUCCUAUACUUUCCACUCUAUUUACCUUAAUCCAAACACCUUAACUUUCUUUAUAUUUUUCCAUCAAAUCAUCUCAAAUCCACUCCCUCAUCCAAACAAAGCAUUAAGUCUUAGAGCUUAAAUAUCUCAUAAUAAAUUUGGGGGUAAUUUGACUUUUUACUCAAUGAAAGUUUGUAUUUUCCUCGAAUCAUUCCAAAGAAGUUAAUCUCCGAUUUUUGUUUAAGAUCCGGCUAAUUUUAUUAAAUAUCUCUAUUAAUGAUUAGUAGGCUAAAAGGAGGUCAAAUUAACUAAUGAUACAAUAAUUAUACAUAUUUAUAAUUUUUAAAAUAUGUUAAUAAUUCUGUAUGGUAAUUUUGAAUUAUAAAAUUAUGAGAAAUAAAUUUAAAACAAUAUAAUAUUAAUUAAAAAAAUUAUAUUAUUUUUAUCGGAUAUUUUUUUUCUGAAAUAUUUGUUAAUUUCUUUUAAAAAAUGUUUAAUAGUGUUAUUGAAAAAAUAAAAAUAAAACCCAAUCUAAAUGGAAUGUAAAUGUUAACUUGAUUUGAUUCACUAAAAAAAUAAUUAAAUAAUAACUAAAUUUAGAGAAAAAAAUAAUUAGUCACUGUAUUAAUUAAAUUAGAUACUAAUUUAGAGACUAAAAACUUAUUGAUAUCUAAAGUAGUUUCUAUUAUUAAUAAAAUAUUAUAAUUUUGUUUUUAUCAGCAAAGAAAAAAAAUGAUUUCUAAAAAUAUUAUAAAAUAAUUUAUAAAUUGGUAUCUAAAUUAACUAGCAAAUUUUUAGCUACUAAUAUUUUAGAUUCUAAAUUAGUCCCUAAAAAGCUAAUAAAGACUAAUUUAGAACAUAAGUAGUUAGUAGUUAAAACCUUGGUAGCUAAUAAUUAGAUACCAAUUUUGAAACUACUUUAUAAAAUUUUAUUAAUAUAAAAACUAUUAUAGAUACUAAUAAGUUUUUAGUUUAUGAAAUGGUAUUUAAUUUAGUCAAUAUAAUAACUAAUUAUUUUAGUCCUUAAUUUAGUCAAUAUAAUGAUUAAUUAUUUUUGUCUCUAAAAUUAAUUUUUAUUUAAUAAUUUUCUUAAGUGAUUCAAAUUUUAUAUAAAAUUGAAACCAAACCAAAUCUAAUUGAAAUAUAUUUAUCUUGUGUAAGUUUUUUACAUGCACAUUCUUCAAAUGGUUUUUCGAGUUGACAAUAAUAGCAUAUGACAAUUCACUCCCUUGGAAACCAAUUUCAUUUGUAUUAGGUCUCAAAUACCAUAGCCAGGCUUCCGUUGAAAGAGGACUGUUUCUUCCUGCAACUCCAUACCUUCUUAUCUCAUCGCCAUAAAUUUUCAAUUUUAAAAAAAUGCUCCUCUAUAACAUUUCGGAUUUCGUAAUUUAGAAGUCAUUUUUCAAAUUCGUAAUUAGUCUCUGGAUUACAUAAUCCGGAAGCCUUUUUUCAGAUGCAUGAUUACUUUCUGGAUUACAUAAUAUGGAUUAUGUAAUUCAGAAGUCUUUUUUCAAAUGAGUUUCUGGAUUACAUAAUCCGAAAACUAUUCUAUGGAGGUGGCACAAGAAGGAUAAAAAUGUAUUUUCACGUUGUGUAUGGAGGUGACAGAAAAAGAUAUGGAGGUGCAGGAAGAAACAAUCUUUAAAGAGAAUGAUGGAAAACCCAAACCAAACACUACAGUUUGGGUUUGAUGCAAAAAAAAAAAAAAGAGCUACGAAGUAAUUUCUAACAAAUUAAUUUAAUUUAAUCAGCUAGUUCAUUUAUUUUGAGUUUCGAAUUAAAUUAAAAUUCAUUUUGAUUUUAAAUUUAUUCUUUCGUAACCUGAGUUUCGGUCACCUUAUUAAAUUUUAAAUUUUGCACUAAGAAAUUUGUUUAUCUUUCUUUAGUAUUUAGAUUUUUGCUCUACCUUUUAUAUUUCCCCAACUAAUUUCAACCUUCGUACUGCUGCUAUUAACUGUAUUUCGUUGUUUUUACUUUCCAACAUAAUUAUAGUAUUCUAAGGCAAAAAUAAUAAUUGGAGAAUUAGUUUAAAAGUAUUUCUAUUUAGAUUUGGUUUACACAUCGCUUAAAACAAUUAGAUAAAUAGACAUUUUUGCUUGGUAGUGUAGUUUUUACACUCUCAUUAUAUCAAAAUUAAAGUCUCCACACACACAUACAUUAAUCAACUAUAUAACAAUAAUCAGAAUAUAAAUAGAAAAUGAGUGUUAAUAAUUGUAGUGUGAUUUGCAUUGUUCUCACCGUAGAUGCUCUUUGAAAUUCUGAAUCCAUUUUCGUUCAUGUGACAUUUGACAAUGCCACAACUGGACAAGAAAUAGUACGAUAAAGUAAUGUUUCUGACCACUCACAAGAUGAAAUUUAGAAAAUUCAAAGCAAGAGACUGAGAUGCAAUUUACAUAGUUCACAUGAUUUCAUAGAAGUCUUUGUCAAAUAAAUUUUUACAGGUGUAACAUGAUAAUUAUGUAAAAAUAGUAUUUUUUUUAAUACUUUCAAAAAAAUCCGUGACAAUUAAAUUUUAUCAGUUGAGAGGGGAUGAUCAUCAUGAACUUAUUCUUCAUAAUUAUGUUCAUAAAUUGCUAAGAUUAAAAUAGUAGCAAGAUUGUUGCUUAUUGUAGGAAAACUCUUCUAUAUUUAUUUUUCUCUUCUCUGAUUUCUUAAAUGUUUUCCAGGUUCAAACAAUAGUCCUUGACACGGGCAUUCUACUGACACAGCAGAAUAUAAGAUUAGUUAUUAUUUUGAUGGAGUCACAGAUUGAAUAAUGGUUUUGGUUGUCCGAUUCUGCAACAAAAGUCCAUAAGAAGUUUCCUUUCAACAGUUUACUUUCAGAGGGACAAAGGUCCUUUAUCUCAUUUCUGGUAACUAAAUACCAAUUAGGAAAACAUCCAAAUAGAUUUAUUUCAACAGGAAAAGACUAAACAACAGUGCAUCACAUUACAGAAACAACAAAAACAUCACAAUCUUUUGUGGGGGCACAAAUAACAUAAUUACAGAAACAACGAAAAUAUCACAAUCUUUUAUGGAGGGGCUUGGAUGCUCAGUGUUGUUGCAAUUACACUUACCAUAUGCAAUUCGGACCAUCACAAAAUCCACCCCCAGGAACAAACUCUUCUGGUAGUAGGAUGUGAAAAGUAAAAAAGUAACUUUGGAACAUGCCAACCUCAACCAAACCAUGAUUUAAGCUGGCAGAGUUCAAAAUAAUUUUAUUUUCAAAGCAACUAGAUAUUCCUUGUUCAUUGUGUAUAUUGAAAUUUUGCAGUUGUGCAUUAAAGUUUAAGAAAGUAUUUUCCUAACUUUAAUCCAAAUAUAUAUGUUAAACCUUAACAUUCUGGAGUAAGGGUGUGGUCUCUCCCAGGAUCAUGGCAAUAGUCAUACACCAAGUGGUUGUUUUGGACCCAUUGCAUUGCAGCAAGUUGCUGAGGACUCAGGCUUCCAUGGCCUGAUGGUGAGGCUGAUGGUGGUUGGCAUGAAGUGGAGGCUUCUGUGGUGCAACCUUCAAGUUUGAAAUUUUGGUAUUGACCAAUGAAGGGUUGGUAUUUAUAAUCAGCUUUGUAUUUUCCACCCUCUGUGGCCCAUGAAGAUGCAUCCCAUAUUGAUCCGUACACAUGCAUUUCUCUUGUGGGGAACGUGGCAUCACUCUUCCUAGGAUACCUUCUUAUUGGGACAUCAUCAACCAAAAAUCUGCAUAUAUUAUUCCCAGUGUAAGAUGAUUAGAUUACUAAAACUAGCAAGCAACACAGAAUCCAGAUUCUGCUAGAUUUUAUCAUAAUCAACCUACUCCCGUGAAAAAAUACAUUGUCAUCCCAUAAUAAGCUAUGAAUGAUUGAUUGACAAAAUGCACAGUUUUUCUCACUUUGAGAAACAUGAUAAAAAAGUUAAUUGGUAUAUUUGAAAGGGGACCACCACAUUCCAUUAUUGUAUAGAAAUGGCCUUUUCGGUGAAAUAUUUUAACCUACCUUAUUUGCCUAAUUGGCUAGCUAGAUGAUUCAUUCUUAUUAUAUAAGAAAAAUGUUCACUAAAAAAUUACAGCAAGGGCUUUAAGUUAGAUUUUAUAGGAAAAUUUAUGAGUAUCAUGGUAGUGCAUGAAGAUAUUACAUGAUCUCACUGGGUUCCCAUAGAAUAGCAUAGUUGUGAAAAUCUUCUGUUGGGUCGAACCAAAGGUGAAACCUCAUCUCUCUCCCUAUAAUAUUCCCAUCUCCACUUCCUCUGAUGUAUACAUUUGUCUGCAAGACAUAUGGCUUAUCUUGGGUGGUACCAAGGAAUUCAAUGUCUAUUUCAUCAUGGUUUCCCGGGUAGUCUUGGUUGUUUGAAAGCUACAAUUCCCAAAUGAAACAACAAAGAAAAGCGAUGAGUAACUGUACAUAGCAUAAUGUAUAUAUACUCAAUUUUCAACAUUAGUUCAAGCUACAGAUUAAUCCUCACGUAUAAAGAUGUUAUGACCCCUGCUGUAUAACCAGGUUGAAGUUUAACUGCAGCACCAAAGUAUCCAGAUCGGUAUGAGUGAAGUGACUUGAAUCCACUCCCUGUGUUUCAAAAAAAGUGCCAGUGAAGAGGUAGUAACUAACCAGUGAUAAUGAAUAAACGGGACUUCAAAUUUUAAUAAAGAAAAAUAAAUAAGCAUAUGUGGUUGGGUUUAUGUGAGACAUUUUACAUACCUGUGUAAGUGUCAAGCCAGAUUGUUAAUGACUCUUGGUCUAGUUUCUGAUGCUGAGGUCCCCAAAGGUUUUUAAAUCCCUCACCAAAGGUAACAGGACUAAUUUUGGAACUAGGGUAGUAGCCAGGGGAAGGUGGACCCUGAGCAGUACUAUAACAAAUCACAAUUGAGAAUAAAAGAAAAGAGAAGAGAGAAACCAGGUGGAAGAAAGAGGAAGGUAGCAAGGACAUUGUGGUAACCAGAGUGGCUCUGCUAAGAUGAAGGGUGGGACACAAAAUCAAAGGGGUAGUUGGUGGUGUUCAUGAAGAGUAUGAGCACAUUGUUAAUAUAUAGACGGAUUUGGAGGCCACACAGUGCCAAAAACGGCGAUAACUUGGUUUAAUAAGGAGUUGGGUACACGAGGGACUAGAGUUUAUCUGGUUUAUGAUGAUACAUCAAUCUAUGGUGUGCUUUUCUACUUUGAUUUCCUCUUGAGAAGGAACUUCCUUUUUUUGAAGUAAAUAAAUGUUUGUUAUGCUUUGUCAAUUGGGAAGGAGAAGAAAACUUGGAGGGUGAAAGACACAUUAACGCUUACUUUCGUGACAUUUAUUUGGUGACCUUUGGAAAUGUGACAAAGAUGGCAUAGAUAGGUUUCGACAUGAAUGGUUCACCUUAUCAAAAGCUUUUACAUGUUAUCAUACAACACUUGGACAAAGCAUAUGAUAAAGAGAAAAACGUCCUGAACUUAUGUUUAGGGGGAUGUGAUGGGAAUUGGGGUAGGAUAUAUGGCCUCAUAAUGACACACAUCAAUGAGAGCUAUCAACUGGUACUCCACACUUAUUCAUCAAUAUAUAUUUUCUUGCUACUGUAUAAUAAAGUAAGUAACAGUAUUCUUACAAUUAGCUUUUUGCAACAACUUUUCACAUGCAUUUCUUCUAUCUCUUUUUUUGACAUCACUCAUUUUGUCACAAAUUUUUAGUCUAAAUUGUUCUGAUAAUUUUUUGUAUGGUGUGAAAUUCAGUCUGAUUGAGAAAAAACAGUUAUACAGCUUCUCAUCCAGAAUACCAAGUUCUGAAACAAUGAACCAGUACAUUUAGAAACUAUUAUUUUGUACUGUAAAAGCACAUUCAUGAACUUGAAACGCGUAUUUGUAGUAGAGUCUAAAAGUUUUAAUAGUUGGAGGACUUGUUUCUAGUCAACACUUAGAGAGGAACUUAUAACCACCACAACCUAUUAUAUUUAGCAUGCUUUGACUAUUUUGAUAAUUGGAAUAACCACAUGAAUAGUCUUAAAUUUUCUUUUAUUCUUGCAGUUUUUUCUAUGCUUUCUGCUAAUGAGCUUCUGCUGAUCAUAAAAAAACAAACAAUGUCAAAUCUCAACAACUUCGGAUCAUUAAAUACUAUAAGUUGUGGUAGUUUUGUGAACAUGAAAAGAAACAUGGUUGAUACUACCCUCCCUCCAUUUCACUCACUUUUACCUUUCAGUUUAAGUUUUUGAUACUUUUAUUUGAAGUUUCUGAUUUUGGCAGAUUCUUUAAGUCCAAAGCAAGUAGUUUAUAUUUAUUUAAUGCAGAAAGUUGUUAGUCCAUAAAGUGAGGAUUAGUUUGACAAAUAAUAUGGUUUAGGAUAGAAUUUGGAAAGAUUAAUGAAAUUUUGAAGUGUAACAGCAGUGAGGUGACAAGAUUUGACCUCAUGCAGAAACAAAAGCAAUCCACAAAGGAUUAUAGAUAGGAUUAGGAUGCAAUUGAAGAGGAUUAGAGAGUGUAGGAUAAAAUUUGUUGGGUUGCAUAUUAAUGUAAUGAAAGCAACCAUGGGAAUUCAUGGAUUUAGUUAGUUGAAAAAGAGAAAACAAUUUAACUACGGAAGUGGUUGUCCACGUUCUUUCUGAUCUAUAAAGGAAACAGAAGUGCAUAUCCCUUGUGUUUGGCAGCUCUGUUCCCUUCCAUGAUUUAUGAAACAAGAUAAUUAUCAGUUCAUUUGGAAAGGAAAGGUAUUCCACUCACGUAAAUGCUUUUUUUGUUGAUAAUAACAUAUAUUAUGUGUCUCUAAUUUAAGAGCAAUUCUUCCUAAGCAAUACCUCACUCAUCUGCAAUAACCAUGUAUAAAAGAAGAUAUUGGAGUGAAUAAUAUGAACGGUGAAUUAGAUGUAGAAACAAAGGUGUUGGUGGUGAGUGUGCCCUACAGCACUUUUUCAUCUGGUGAGAAAGCAAGAAAGUGUAGCAAAGUUGAUGGUUGAUGUAAACAUUUUAGUGUGCAGUAUGAAAAUUGAAGACAAUGGAACUUCAAAAAUGUAUAAUGUGAUGGAGCAUUUGGUGUAAAUAAUUUAGAGACACUGUGUUGUUCUUUUCAAAUCUCCUAACCCGCAAACAACGUGAAUUCAUCUGUAUGCAUCACCUUUACUCUCUCUUUCUGUUGAAGUCAACUACCCUAAUUUUUAGUAGUUCAUAAUGCAUGACUACUACUGCAUAAAUCUUUUUGAGUCAAGUUUUGGAUUAAAAUUUUAUAAAAUAACAAAAUGUAAAUAGAUAAAUUUAUUGAAGUCAAAACGUGAUUUAAAGUUUUAUAUUGAGUGAAUAUAAAUAAAAUUUUAUUACGAAAAACUGUUGUUUGAAUCCAAUCAAAGACCCGUGGCCACAAAUAAAUAGUUAUGUAUUAUAAAAAAAAUUGGAUCUUCUAUUUUUUUUUUAUUCAAAUCAAAACAAAACAAAGAGUAUGAAACAUUAAACUCAUUCUAGGUAUAGCUAAAAAAAAUGUAAAAUAAAAAAUCAAUAAAAAUUAAAAUAAAGACUAAACAUAUAUAAAGAAAAACAAUUGAAAAUUAAAGAAGACAAAAUUAAUAUUAAAUUUUCUUCUAAAAAAUUUGUAUCCAUAUCUUUUGUUGUUAUGAAUAUGAUAAUAAUAAUUAUUUUGUGUAGGGUCUCUUGGAGAUUUUGGAAACUGUGUCUCGAGUGACUGGGGAUUUCUUUCGUAUUACAUUGAGAUGCACAAAUGCACUUUAAAAUGUUUAAACCUAGGUUUGAAACAUGCUAUUGCUAUGCUGGGGAGUGAUUUGGGUAGGUAUUAUAGGCGAAAUUUGGAAUCAUAGGUAUAAGGUUGUUUUUAAGAAUGUGCGUGUUGAUCUAGUUGAGGUUUUUACUAUGGUAUAAAGGAAGACUUGGUCUUGGAUUACGGUAAAGGAAAGAUUGAUUGAUUUCUCUUACUUAGAUUGGUGUUUGGAACCCCUUUGUUGUAUGAAAUAUUUGAUAUAUUGAUGUUUAGUGAUUUAUGUUUAACGUUUUGUCCAUGUUUAUGCAAACUUUCUUGGCUUUUGUUUCUUCCUGACAAGGUCGGUUUGAUGAUUUUGGGGUUGAGAUACAGUAAAGGAAAAAUUGGUUGAUUUAUUCUACUCAAAUUAGUGUUUGGAACCUUUAUUUGAGAGACUAAUGUUUGGCGAUUCUUGUUUAACACUUUGUCCAGAUUUGGAAGACGUAGUGUAUUUUGUGCAGGUUUUUUUACUUCUAUAUCCCCAUCGCAGGGUCAAUUUGAUGGGUUUGGCGCUUGGAUGUUUGAUUUACUUCUGUUUGCUGAUAAAGACUGAGUUUAGUUGUUCCACUUUUGUGUCUUGUCUUGAGAAUGUGUUCCUUUGGAGGGUUGAUGUAAUUGUAUAUUGAUGUGCUCUUGUAUCUUGAUAUGGUAUGUUAUUGUGGCUAAUGUGCUGUAAUAUCUGUUGGAUUCCCAUCUGAUUAGGUGAUAAGAAACUUGUGUUGAAAUUAUUUGUAAAGGGUUAGAGCACAUGUGAAGUGCCUCAUUUUAUUUUAUUUUAUUUUAUUUAUUCUUUGCUUAUAAAAAAAAACUAUUAUUUUGUUUGCAUGUAGAUGAUUAAAAAAUACUUUAAGUUGGUCACAUAAAUAUUAUUAUUAGGAAAACAUAUUUUAUUUUUUAUAUAAAUAUUUUAUUUUAUAUUUUGCAAUAAUUUAAAAUCAUUUUUUUAAUGUUAAUAAAAUAAAUAAAAUAUAGUUUCAGGUAAAAUAUAUAUUUUUUAAAAUUUUUUGUUUCUUUUAAAAUUUUGAAAUCAUGAUUUUUCAUUCUUAAUGAUCUAACUAUAAAUUAAUAAUAUUUAUUUGAAAAAUUCUUAAAAAAUUAAAAUAGGUAACAUUAGGAGAUGAUAAGCAAAUAUUAAUACAAGUUAUUACCUGAAACAAUUAUUUAACAUUUCGUUUAGAAUAUAAAGAAUUAACAAAUAUAACAUAAUAUAAAAAGCUAAAUAUAAAUUUUAAAAUAAAAAUAUAAAAAGGUAAUGCAUAUGUUAUUAAAGUCACAUGCAAACUAGAAAUAAAACACUUAUGGUAAUCAAAUGAGAGUGAAUGAAAACUUCAUUUUAUAUAAACUUCAGUUUUAUAAGUUAAUUUAAAUUACUUUUUAAUAUAUGUCUUAGAAUGAAUAAGAUUGAAGUUGAUUUGAUUUGAUUUGAAAGAAAGGUUUUUAGUUUGGUCAUUUUUGAAAGUGAAUUAGUGCAAUUAUAUAGUAAUUGAGUUAGGCACUAAUAUUAGCCUUUUAAUUCAUCAACAAUAUUCUUUAUCACAAAGAUAAGCAUUAUGUCUUUGUAAGUAAAUAUCUUCUUUAUACGUAUUACAAAGAUUAGAAAGAGUGGAAAACAAUGUUACGCUUCUAAAUCAUUUCAACUUUCUUAACUUUUUAGGGUCUCCACUCAUGCAUUAAGGAUUGUAUCAAAUAUAUAUUUGAUUUUCUUAUUUUACUUAUUUUAUAUUAUACUAUUACAGUGUGUGUUCAUGAAUCUAGAAUAUAAUUUAUAUAUUCAAAAAUAUUUUUUAUUUACUACAAAUUUUAAUCGUACUAUAAUUUAAAUUUUUAAAGUAUUUAUUUACUAUAGAUAAUUUUAAUUGUAUAAAAUAAACAUUUGUUUUAGACUUAAAAGGCUAAUAAAUUACUGACUCAAAUCUUAAAAAAAAAUCAUAGAAUAUAAUCUAAUUUUAUACAUAAAAAAUAAUUAGUUGUUACAGUGAUUAAAUUAGAGAUUAUUUUAAAAUUUUUUAUUUUUAUUUUUUAAAUUAAUUUAUAUUAUUAUUAAAUAAUUUCUAAAUUAAUAUCUAAUUAGCUACCAAAGUUUUUCUACUAAAUUGGUAGCUAAUUAGAUAAAAAUUUAAAAACUAUUUAGUAAUAAUAAAAAUUAAUUUAAAAAUAAAAAUUAUUUUAGUAUCUAAUUUAAUCAUUAUAACAACUAAUUGUUUUUUAAUUAGUUUUCAUUUAAUUUUAUUAGUGUAAAGACACAACCGUUAAUUAAAGUGUGAUUAGGAUAAUAAAGAUUAGAUUUCAAACUUCAUAACUUUCACCCCUAAUGAAGAAGAGUUCAUAAAAAUAAACAUAAAUUUUAUACACCUUAAACUACACCACAGUGCAUUAAUAACUAAACCACAAAAUUUACUUAUUUAACCAGAAUUUAAAAGUAUCAGACCCUGUACCUCUGCGAGAAAAAAAUUCAGUUUUACUCUAUUUUUAAUCAUUUGUUUUUUCAAAUUGAUAUUUGUGAAAAAACUAGUUAAUGUAAAAAUCUAAUAGAUACAUCAUAAAUAUCUUAUAAUUUAUUUAUGAUUCUCACAUCUUAUUUAUUCAAUUAUAAUUAUAUUAAAAAUACUUUAAUUCAUAAAGUAUAAUUUUUAAGUCUUUUUUUUCAAUCUAUCGCUUUCUAAUUUAUUUUAUGGUCGACAUGAAUAAAAUUUAUUACGGAAAAAAUCAUAUAUUGUUUUAAUCAUCAGGUUAAACUUUUAUUAAUUUAAAAAAAUAUAUAUAACCUUUGACGACGUUAACUAAUACAUUUUAUUUUAUUUUAUUAAAUCAUACUUAAAUAAAAAAAUCCCAAAAUUAUUUCAAUAAAGUAUAUUAUUUAAUUAAUUUACAUAAUUUUUCUAACACUUAAAAAAAACCUUUGCAAGAUUUGUUAGAGACUUUAAGAACUUAAACAAUUAAAAAUGCAGUGUAGGAGAUUGCAUUGCCUGUAUUUGAAGCUUAUCAUAACAAACCUAAGUUUUAAUUUAAUCAAUAUUAUUUUCAACCAAUAUGAAAGCAUUAAAUAUGAAACAUAGGGGUUUGCUAAUUAUGUAAUUAAUGAGUAAGAUGAGAGGAUUAAUAAUAAUAAUAAUCUGAUAAAAAAAAGAAGGAAUAAUAAUAAUUGCAGCAGUUGAUUAAACAAAUUGCAGAGCCAUUUGGUUUUCGUGGCCCCAUAUGUUAUUUCAAAUUCUAAACCAUGGAGAUCAGAUAUGAAUUAUUGCAUGAACAAUAUUUUUUUUUCUUCUUACCUAAAUUAGCAUCUUUAUUUAUAUAUAUAUAUAUAUAUAUAUAAUAUGGGUGUUGAAAAUUAGGUAUUACAUUUGAAUUAAGAAAAUCAUGAAAUAAAAACUAAUUUUAGAGACAAAAAAUAAUUAGUACUAUAGUGACUAAAUUAGAAACUAUUUUAGAGACUAAAAAUAAUUUUAGUUUCUAAAUUAGUUUUUAUUAUUGUUAAAUAAUUUAUAAAUUGAUAUUUAAUUAACUAUGAAAGGUUUUAACUACCAAUUAUUUAAAUUCUAAAUUUAGUAGAAAAAUCUUGAUAACUAAUUAAAUAUCAAUUUAAAAAUCAUUUUACAAUAAUAAAAACUAAUUUAAAAAAUAACAAUUUUUUCAGUUUUUAAAAUGGUAUUUAAUUUAGUCGUUAUAACAACUAAUUAUUUUUAUGAUUUUUAUUUCAUGUUUUGUGUUGUCGUAGUAGAAUUUUACAUUUUGUUAUGGAACAAGAUUAAAGUUUAUAAAAAUAUUUUGAAAUUAUUAUUUUGUUGGAAUAAAAUGAAAGCAAUGUAAAAAAGGCUGAAAAUACAUAAUAUAUUUUUCAAAGGAUAUCAUGCCUGAUAUAAAGGAAAUAAAUAAGGAAUAGUUUAAUGAUAUGCAUAUGAGGCCAGGAUGUGACUUAAGAAAAUGGGUAACUUUAAACAUAACAUAAUACCAAGUUUUGAUUAAAAUAUUGACUAUUAAUAUUAUAAUUACUAGUGGAUAUAAAUAUUUGUCUGUACAUACCAUAUUCAUGUAAGAUAAUGACAACACAUUUUUUAAUCAAAAUAAUUAAAAUAAAAUAUAUAUACUAAAAGCAUUUAUCAAAAUUGCUGUCCUAUUUAUAUAUUAGUAUAAAUACGUGCAUAUAGAGUUAAUGAAAAAUUAAUUAGAAUGCACUGUGAAUAUACAUUUUUUCAUGCUAUCUGCAAUUUAAGUUUACAUAUAAUUGAAAAUAUUGAUUUUUUUAAUAACUGUUUUAAAAUCAUAUUUGUAGAUUGAUUUUUAAUGGAUUGUAAAAAUAUUUACACUAACAAUAUCAAAAUUAAACUCAUAAAUAAAUUAUGCAAUUGUUUUAGCGUAUUUGGAUCCAUUAGUCCUUGUUUUGUUGUAGAACUUCUAGGCUUUUGGUUCCUUCACUCCAUCAAAUUGGAAGUUGCACCUUAUCAUUCAAAUGAUAAAAAUAUUCUUCUUAAUUAAAUAGUUGUUCUUAAAAGACUAUUUCAGAAUAUAUAUAUAUAUAUAUAUAUAUAUAAUUAUCUAUUUUAGAAGGUGAUAUUAUUAGGAAAGUCUACUACCUAUUUUAGAAACUCCUUUUCGGAAUCUAUAUAAAAUAAUUCCAAAAUUUUCAAUCCUGCAAUGUUUAUCUAUACCUGGAUGGAACAUAGAUACGAAUACGGAUGACACGACACGGAUACGAACAUGAAGAUACGUAUAAUAUCUAAAAUGUAGAAUACGAGGAUAUUGAUCUAUAUAUUAUAUAAUUUUGAAUUAUAUAAAUUGAAAAUAAAUAUUUAUGUGCAAAAGUAUGUUUCAGAUUCUUUUGGGAACAAGAAAAUAUUUUUCAUGACUGGUUCAAAAGAAUUUGUUCCUUAUUUUUAUAAUCAUAAUAAAAAUUUAUACAAUAAAUUUGAGUUUUUAAAAAAUUAUUGUAUUUAUACAUUUUAAGAUUGUGUUAGAACCGUGUUAGAAUUUUUAAAAAUCCAACAAAUAUUUUUUGAAUUGAACACUUCACCAAUAAGCAUCAUACAAGUGUCGUACAAGUGUUUACACCGAUACGUGUAUCCGACACAGAUACGCCAUUUAAGAGAAGUGUCCGUGAUGAGAAUCAAAUAAAAGAGGCUUUUAUUAAUGGAGGAAGAGGACAUCCACCCUCACAUUUGAAGUUCUUCCUUCUAGUCUUCUCAAAAUUAAAAGAAAACAUAAAAUAAAGAUGAGGCCCAAGCCCAAAGCCCAAGCCCAAGCCCAAGAAGGCCAAAGCCCAAAGAGCCCAAGUCCAUCCCAUGAGGGGCAAGGCCAAGCUUUGAAAUACUCUUGUAUAGUUUUAGGAGGUGUGGUUAUUAAAUAAAGGUGUGUGAAAAUGUAAAAUAAAGUCACAUUGUCCAUGUGACUUAGGAGAGUGGUGUAGGUGUAGUUUUUGGGAGGUGUCAUAGUAGAAAAAGGUCACACCUCCCAUGUGACUUGGUUUUGGUGGGAAUUUCAAAUGAGUUUAUUUGAAAUUUCCACCUAUUUUUCAGCACCUUAGGCUAUNNNNNNNNNNNNNNNNNNNNNNNNNNNNNNNNNNNNNNNNNNNNNNNNNNNNNNNNNNNNNNNNNNNNNNNNNNNNNNNNNNNNNNNNNNNNNNNNNNNNAUUUUGAGUGACCUUUGGAGAGCUUUUGGAGCCUUCUUCCCUAGUCUUAUCUUGAUGGAUCCAUGGAGUCCUCAAGUGGCGGCAUCACUCUCAUCUAGGAGCAUUCCACACUUCUAGUGGCGAGAUCAUCCAUCCUCCUUCCAUCUUCAUGAGCAUUCUCUUCUCCUUCCUUUCUUCUUCUUCAAUUGUUCAUGUUGCCUUGUGUUUUGAGUUGUUUUAGUUUCGGUUCUUCCAUUUUCCAGCACCUAUAUUCUGUUUUGUUUCUUAAUUCUGUUCGGUUCAUUUGAGUAUUGGUUUAUUUCUGUUCGGUCUUUUCAAUUUUAAUUCCUUUGUUGAUUCAAUUUGACAAUAUUUGGUUCAUCCAAAUGAGUUUGGGAUUUGGGUACUAGUUUUUGGUGAGUUCUUGUCUUAGAACAAUGAUCCAACUCUAAGAAAAGUGCCUCUAUAAUGUCCAACUCAAGGUGAUUCCUAAGAAGGUCAAGAACCUUUCUCUUCUAAGCUAGUGGAAUCACAUCAGUCCGAGUCUCAUAGUCUGAGAUUCUUUUAUAACUGUUUUUUUUUAUGUAUAUAAAUUUAUUUCUAUUUUAUUUUUAUUAAUAUUUAUUUUAUUAAUUUAUUUUGAUUACUUUGUAAUUCAACAAUUAACAAAGAUUUUAGUUUUAAAAAUUUAUUUUAUUUAUUGACACUUAAAUGUUAUUAGAUGUGGACCAUGUUAUUUGGAGAGAGUGGAGAAAUUAACAUAAUGCUGAUUUAGACUCAUUUUUUUUCUUCCAAUUGCUAUUAUACAAAUUUGAAUUUUCCAUUUUAUCCUUAUUAAUAUUUUAUUUUAUUAAUUUAUUUUGAUAAUUUUGUAAUUUCAUCACUUAACAUAGCAGUUUUUUAGUUUUAAAAUUUUAUUUUAUUUAUUGUCAUAGUUUUAAAAUUUUAUUUUAUUUAUUGUCAGUGACCACGAAGAGAAUGGAGAAUUUAGUGCGCUCCUAUUUUAGACUCAUUUUAAUCUUAUUGAUUAAGACAUAAUGUUUAAACUAUUUUUCCAUUUUAAACUGAUAUUUUUUUCUAUUUUAAAAUUAAAGAUAAUGACAGUAUAUAACUACUAUAUUAAUAUUAUAUUAAUAUAAAAUUAAAUAAUUUAUAUAUCUUAUAUAUAUAUUCAAAUUUAUUAAAAUGUAUUUUAAAUUGAUAUAAUUAAUAUAAGUAUCCGAAGCAUCUAUAUUCCGCCAAUAAAUAAUAAAACUUAUAUAUUUUAGAAGUAUUUUUAUAACUCCAAAAUUUCAAAAUACAACUUCCAUCAUUUAACCUAAAAUCACAACAAAACAACAGAUUUUGACCUGAAAUCACUAACCAAGCCUUCUAGACACCACUACCACCACAUCUCAUUUCGAGCUCAACCUUCCCUGGAGCACCUCCACAAACCACCGACGCAGAACAUGCUUCCAUGGAAUCAUUGUGCUUGAAAUUCAAGGGCAAUUUUAGGAUUUCAAAUAAUGAUGGGGUGCAGAUUUUAAUUGUUGGGGUGCAAGAACCAAAAUCCCAGCUUUAAUCAAAGGAUAAAUGUUCAGAACGAGAAAUCCCAAGAUCGAAGGAAAGAAAAGCCCAUUUCUAUUUGUGGGCUCAAAUUCCAAACUGUACGGUACACGACCAGAGAAAAAUUAUGCAUUUUGGGCCAAUAUUGCUCAUAAUUCUAUUAACCAAUGCACUGCACUCUGAUUAAUAUUUAUAACAAAUAAAUACUUUUAAAAUAUAUAAAAUAUAAUUUUUAAAAGUGCAAUGAAAAAUUAUAUUGUGAUUCAAUUAGUGAUGAUCCUGUUUAUUCCUUUCAAAUAUAUUUCUUAUUUUAGUUUUAAACUUAAUUUAUUGACUAGUCGAAAAUUCCAUUCUCUACAAACUUCUGUCACUUUAUUUUAUUCAUACCAGUUUUCUUAAUUCACUACAAGAAAAAAUGGUUUUAACGAAGGUUUAUUUUUAUAUUAUCUAGGGUUAAAACCUCUAUUAAGUCAUUUACCCAGGGUUUUUUUAAACCUCAGGAAAAGCCUUUCAAAAUACCAUGGGUUUCAAAACCUCCGUAAAAUACCAUGGGUUUCAAAAUCUCCGUAAAAUACCAUGGGUUUCAAAACCUCCGUAAAAUACCAUGGGUUUCAAAACCUCCGUAAAAUACCAUGGGUUUCAAAACCUCAGUAAAAUACCAUGGGUUUCAAAACCUCAGUAAAAUACCAUGGGUUUUAAAACCUCCGUAAAAUACCAUAGGUUUCAAAACCCCCGUAAUAUACCAUGGGUUUCAAAACGUCCAUAAAAUGUUUUAGAACCUCCUUAAAAAAUACCAUAGGUUUCAAAAUUAUGAAAUUUGUUUUUUAUUAUUCAUUUACCAUUUAGGCAUUCAUGUGUUUNNNNNNNNNNNNNNNNNNNNNNNNNNNNNNNNNNNNNNNNNNNNNNNNNNNNNNNNNNNNNNNNNNNNNNNNNNNNNNNNNNNNNNNNNNNNNNNNNNNNNNNNNNNNNNNNNNNNNNNNNNNNNNNNNNNNNNNNNNNNNNNNNNNNNNNNNNNNNNNNNNNNNNNNNNNNNNNNNNNNNNNNNNNNNNNNNNNNNNNNNNNNNNNNNNNNNAACAUUUACAACUUUUAAUUAUAACUGAACAAAAAUAGUUAUAACUAAAACUUAAAAAUAUUAUAUUGUUUUUGUAUAAAACUGAAAAGAAGAUUGUGGCUGAGAUAAAUUCUUAAGGAAUGAAUUCUGUGAAUUGUAAAAUUGUGCAGGAUUGGAAUGCUAAUAGAAAUGGUAAGGUUGAGCAAUAUAAAAAAAAAAAAAGACAAUAAAGAAAUGCCUUGAAAACUGGUUCAACUUGUUUCUAAAUAAAAAAAAUUACAGCAGAUAGCUUCUCCAAUAUUAAAUACAAAAAGAUAACAGAGUGGUUGAUGCUAUAGAAGUUGGAGAAGGCAUAGAGAAACUAUGAAGCUACGAAAAAUUGAGAAAAAGUAAAAGAGAUACAUGAAUUUUCAAGCUCUGGAUACCAUGAUAAAAUUAAAAUAAAAAGAGUACAUGUUUACAACCAUUUCAUAAAAAGAGUAGAAGGAUAAAAGAAAAUGAUCUUCACUUUUGAGAAAGAACUGGCCCAGAUUUCAUGCAUCCAAUGUACACCCGUUAUUUUGAUCGG
rnacentral:lncRNA from 1 species